CCUCUACCGCUGGCACUCAACCCGAGGAGGAAACUCCGGUUGAACCGAUUGACGAAUCCUUACCUCUUAGACGUUCCGAUAGAGUUAGAGUUCUUCCCCAGUUUUAUGGUUUUCAUAUUACUACCGAAGGGGACACGUAUAUUAGUGAUGGUACACUAGUAAAUCUUGAUGAACCUAAUAGCUAUAAGGAAGCCAUGGCAGGCCCGGAGUCUGCAAAAUGGAAAGAGGCAAUGGAUAGCGAGAUCCAAUCCAUGUAUGAUAACCAAGUUUGGAAUUUGGUUGAUUAUGUGCCCGGACGUAAGACCGUUGGGUGCAAAUGGAUCUUCAAGAAGAAGACCGACGUGGAUGGAAACGUACACACAUAUAAAGCGCGAUUGGUUGCGAAGGGCUUUACUCAAACUCCCGGAGUUGACUAUGAUGAGACCUUCUCACCAGUUGCGAAGAUUAAAUCUAUUAGAGUGAUGCUAGCAAUUGCCGCAUUUCAUGAUUAUGAGAUUUGGCAAAUGGAUGUCAAGACCGCUUUCCUUAACGGAAAGUUGGCUGAGGAUGUUUACAUGGCUCAGCCAGAGGGGUUUGUGGAUCCGAAGCAUCCGGAUAGAGUGUGUAAGCUUGAGAAGUCCAUUUAUGGACUUAAGCAAGCGUCUCGCAGAUGGAAUCUUUGCUUCGAUGAGAAAGUCAAAGAUUUUGGCUUUGUUUGAAGCGAAUAUGAAUCAUGUGUAUAUGUCAAAGCCAGUGGGAGUAUAGUAAGCUUCCUCGUUCUGUAUGUCGAUGACAUACUACUCAUAAAACGACGUCUCCCGACUCUGCAGGAGGUUAAGUCCUGGCUCGGGAAGUGCUUCGCUAUGAAGGACCUCGGAGAGGCUUCUUACAUUUUGGGAAUAAGGAUAGUAAGAGAAAGAAGUAAGAGACUAAUUGGACUUAGUCAGAAUACUUACUUAGAGAAGGUACUAAAACGUUUUAGUAUGGAAAACUCAAAGAAGGGAGAACUACCGAUACAAAGUAAUGCCAAAUUGAGUAAGACUCAAAGUCCGAGUACCGAAGCUGAGAUAGCAGAAAUGAGCCGAGUACCAUACGCUUCCGCAGUUGGCUCAAUCAUGUACGCUAUGACUUGUACUCGCCCUGAUGUAGCCUUCGCUUUGAGCAUGGUUAGCAGAUAUCAAGGGAAUCCUGGCAAAGCACAUUGGAUUGCGGUGAAGAAUAUCCUUAAGUACCUUCGGAGGACGAAGGAAUGGUUCUUAGUCCUCGGAGGGAGUGAUGACUUGAAGGUGCGAGGGUAUAGUGACGCCAGCUUUCAGACCGACAGGGACCACUACCAUUCGCAGUCGGGCUGGGUCUUUACCCUGAAUGGAGGAGCAGUAACAUGGAAAAGUUCCAAGCAGGAAACCGUAGCUAAUUCAAUGUGCGAAUCAGGGUACAUUGCAGCGAGCGAAGCGUCGGAGGAGGAAAUAUGGUUGAAGAACUUCAUCGGUGAUCUUGGAUUUGUACCUGCCAUAAAGGAGCCCAUGGAGAUUUUUUGUGAUAAUGAAGGAGCGGUUGCCUUAACCAAGGAACCAAGGGAUCAUGGUAGAUCUCGUAAUAUCGACAGAAAAUAUCACUUUAUUAGACAUCAUGUAGAAGAACGACAACUCAUAGUAAAGAGGAUAUCAUCAGAAGAUAACCCAGCAGAUCCGCUUACGAAGGGACUGAGUAGGGUUAAGCACUUGCAGCAUGCUAGGAGUAUUGGGCUGAAGGAUGAUAUUAGCAUAGAUUAGAUAGUAGUGGAAACGUGUAAUAGAUAAAUGUAAUUAACAUUUGAUGAUUAAAUAAAGGAGUAUUAUUUAUGAGUAAUGUUACUGUCUUAUGUUAAUUGUUUAACUAUUGUUUCACUUUGCAUGUUUUGACUUCCAGAAUAAUUGAGUUUAUUAAGAAUAAUCGAAUUAUUCAAAUUGUCCACAAUCGUUCAUAUGUUGGAAGUAGGUAUGAAUGAAGAUUGUCAUGAAUUGGUGUGUAGAUUGUCUAAAUGGUAUUGGACAUGGCAAAAGUUUGUUGCAACGUUCAUGAGUGUUUAUGAACUAGUUUUGAGCAUUGGAACAAACCCGCGCUUGCUGGAAUCACCUUAUGGAAUGUGAUAAAAAAGGGUGAUCGCAAGACGAUACUAUCAUAUAGUCUUAAAACCAAUAUAUAUGGUUUGUUAUUUGUUAAUUGGUUGUACAUUGAUAAUGCGAAACCGCAUCAGUAACUUGAUGUUAUAAAACGCAUUGUUGUGUAUAGUUGAUUAAUGAAUAAGUAAAUGCAUAUAAGUCGAAGUUUAUCUGUUACUUUUAUCCUAAGAGGGUAAAAGCGAUAUCUCGGCCGCUCGAUGAUUUGAUUUGACUUAUGUGUCGGGCCCGGUCAGAACUGAAUUGAUGUGUUCGAUUAAGUUCUAUGUCAAAUAAAUCAGAGAUCGAGAAACCUAAAUGCUUGACUAAUUGUUCCAUAGAAUUGUCAGCAUGAUAUCUAACAGAGGACUGUACGAUCCCUUAUCUAAAGGACAAGAUUGAUUAGAUCAGAGUUUGACAGCGUCUUUGAGAGCUACGAUUGCUAAUCGGAUUAUACUUGUGUAUAUAGUUACUAGACUUAUCCAAGUGGGAGACUGUUGGAAUAGUGUCUAAGGCUGCAACUAUAUUAGGCAAGUAUUUGACCCGGUUGUGCAUGGUCCUUUUGGGUUGCCUUCACCAUAGCAACUUGACAUGAUGAUUUAUAAUGAGAGACGGAAUAUUAUUAAUAUAUUAUGAGAAUAAUAUAAGGAAUAACAAUAUUAUUAUUUGAUUAAUAUAAGUCAUAAAUUAAUUAGGAAUUAAUUUGGUGACUUAAAGAGAUUAAUUGAAUAAAGGGGUAUAAAGUGUCAAUUGUGUGAUAGUUAUACUUUGGGCUAUAAAUCCCUUAUGGAUAAAGGGUGUCCGGUUUUAAGGACUUUGGAUAGGCCUUAAAAUCGUCCAAGGCUUAUCAUGAAAGGGAUUAUGAUUGCUUAGGGCCUAAGUUAUCCAAUUAGGGUUUAAGGGUGAAACCCUAGGAGCCUUACAAGUAUAAAAGGACCCCAAGGGUUAAGGAAAUCGGCACUUGUGCUUUAGAAAGAAACCCUGGCCGAUUUUCACUUUGCUCUCCUCUCUCUCAAAUCGUCCUCUUGCUAGUUGGUGUUUGUAAGCCGUUAGAGGAGUGACAAUUGUGACUCUAAAGCUCCAAGGACAAGAAGAUCAAGCAAGUGAUUCAAGGUAAGCUUCUAAUUCUGAUUUCAUAUUGUUAUUAUAGUCUAUUAGCCAUUAGAUGUCUUGGAUUGAAUGCAUGUUCAAUUAGAGAAACCUAGAUCCAAGCAUUAGGGUUUGCAUGUGCACAUAGGAAUGUUCAUAUGGCUUAAACCCAUAAGUUAUGACAUGUCGAAGUUUCACGACAGAACUGGCAACACUGAAUGACGUAAAAAGUGAAAUUUAUGUUAGUGCAAUAUUUAGCCUUAGUUAUCUAAACGAAAGUCGUAGAGUUCGUUAAACCGAGAGCGUGCAUAAAAAGUAUGCCCAAAUCUGACUUCGUAUGAGGAAGUUAUGAUUUUCUGAAGUUUCGAUUUGGCAGUAUGCAACCCGAAUCCUCGAUUUGAGAUCGAGCGGUUUAUAGCCGAAACAAUCUAAAUGGGAAUCGAAGAUCUCGUUGUUAGUAGCGAAACGAUGAAAAUUUAGGCGAGAACAGACGUCGGACGAAGAAGGUAUGGAUUUAUAACGAAGUUUUCCUGUCCGGACCUACUAAAAUUAAAUAAUAAAAAUAAAAUCAAAAUUAGCCAACGGAGUCUAAACGAAAGUUGUAGAGCGCAGUCUCACCUACGCGUGGAUAUAAAGACCGUCGAAAACGGAGCUCGUAUGCGAAAGUUAUGCAAUUUAGAAGUUUGACGAGUCAAAUUACGCCGAGCGUAAUUUGAGUACGCCCAGCGUACUCAGAAGGGUGCGAGUUGUCUGACCAAUACUCGAGUGACACCAAUUGACGCAUGCAGUGACGUCAAAGUACGCCCAGCGUAACCAAGUUACGCCCAUCGUAAAUUGAAAUUACGCCUAGCGUAAUCCGAUACCCACCAACUUAUAAAUAGAAACCGAGAUCAGUCAUUUUCUCUUGUUCAAACUCUUUCUUCUCUCUAGUUUUUGCCUCGAUUUGCAUGCCAAUCAUAUCCCGAAGCCUCAGUAUCAUUCCCGAGUCCCGAAGCAAGAUCUGAAUUCCCAAGGAUCCCAAAGAGCGGUAUUCCCGAGCCGAAACCCUGCCCGCGAGGAGCCCGAUUUUUGUGAAAAUCUUCCAGAUCUACGGAGAAACACUACUUCUGCANUGUCCGAUCAUCUUCUGAUCAAGUGAGUGUGUGGUUACUUUCUUCUAACGCAUAAUUAUGAAGUAUUUUAUAUAAAAUAUGUGUUAUGUGUAUAUUUUGUUGUUAUAUGUGUGAAUGUAUAUUCACUUUCUUCUAUCUCAUAGAUCUGAUUUAUUCUCUAUGAAAUACGUGUUAUGUGUGUGUGCCUCAUCUGUUAUGUGGAAUAUGUAUUGAUUGAACAUGCUAUACUGGUUUUAAACUAUGUAUAAAAAUAUAUAUUUUUAUCUACUAAUAUGUUGGGUAGAACAUGGGUAGAUAGUUGACGUGUGAUAAACAGAUGAGAGGCCUCGAUGUUGUUUUUGAUUCAGUCAUCUAGCGGAGUUUAAAUGACGACCACAGACUUUUCUGGACAGUCCUGUGGAACACUAGCAGGCUCGCCACCUGUAGGUGUUAAUGAACUUGGGUGUUCAUUUGUUGUACUCCAUCCCCCAUGGUUGCCUUAUUUGACAUAUAUUGCCGGGAAACCCCCGAAAGCAUGUGUUGUCGUCCCGAUGAAAUAUUCUUAGACUAGGUCCCUUGUGUUAGUUAUUUUAGGGACAUAAAGUGAGAAUAAUGGGAAUGGGUAAUUGGGUUAUUGUUGGUUCAUGAAUAUUAAUUUAAUUAUUUAUUGUUGGUUGAAAACCCUAUAUGCUCACUAGGCUCCCAAGCCCGACCCACUCAGUUUCUUUGUAUUAUAGGAAGUGGCGCGAGGGCAUAAGAUGGAUAAUCAUCAAGUUGUUUUGUUUACAAGUCUGUAUAUGUAUAUAUUUGUUGAAUGACUUGUAAUGUUAUCGUUUAUGCUUUAUGGUCUGUAUCGGAACAUGACAUCCUGAGUUUUUAUUAGAUAAUGAAAAUACAUUUCUUUAUGAAAUGCUUUGGUAAAUAUUAUUUUAUCAUACUUUGUGUUUGGGAACAAAUUCCGCAUCUCUUUUAAAAUCAAAAGGAUUUACUCUGAAAAUGUUUAAAAAGCAUAAAUAAAACCGGUCUUUUCUGACCGAGAUUUUGGGGAUGUCACACCAGGACUCAACAAUUUUCUCAAGAUCAUCGACUUUUGAUUUGAUAUGCAGUAACUCGACCUUAUCAUUUUGUAAUUUAUUCACCUUCCAUAUUCACAUUUUGUCUUUAACAAAUUUGAAUUUAGAGAGGAGAUACCUAUCAGGCAUGUCGUUUCCAUGGAAGGAACCCUAAGCAAUAGAAAAUACAUCGUUGAAGUCGUGUUUAGUGAGCCAAGUAUUGAAGAAUCGAAAAGGUGAGGGCCCAAAUUUGAUAAAUGACGGUUUGAGGGUGAUAAAGGAAUGACCAAUAUGCUCUUUAGGGUGAGAAAUAACUAAGGAAAGUGGUUGGAUUCUAAUGAAGUUCGAGCACACAAGGAAGCGAUCAAUUUUGCUCAGUUUACAACCGCCAUCUCUGAGAUAGGUGAAUUUGCAAUUGCCCAUGUUAAAUUCUUGCAAGCCUACCUUCGAGAUAAAUCAGUUGAAGUCCGCAACGAAGUAUUUGCAUAACUUUGCAUCGAACCGUUCACCAUUAUUGCGAACAAUAUUUAGGAAAGCAUCACGUGGCGUCUGGUCAAAUAUUUCUAAAGCUAUUAAAUCCCUCGAUGACCUCUAUGUUACCAGAAAUAACCUUUUUCAAAUUGAUCACUGGUACACAUGUUAAGAUCCUUUUUUGGAAGGAUGUCUGGUGCGGUAGCGUUCCCUUUCAAGCUAAAUUUCCAAACUUAUAUCAAAUAGAAUCCUCAAAAUGUUUCUUGCUUGAAGAUCGCCUUUCUAGGGAUAAAUUCUCAUGGAGCUGGAUUCAUGUGCCUACAAAUCCACUCGAGUUGAAUGAACUCCUAAAUCUUUACAUUGAUAUUAGGAAUCAAUGCAAUAUAACCAACUCUGAUUUUGGAUUCAUCUUCACCUUGUCUUACAGUGGGGAGUACUCUAUUAACAUGAUGAGAAGGUUAAUCGAAACAAAGAUAAUCCAAUAUAGUGGUCCUUCAAUUUGUUGGGAAAAAACUGAUUCCGCUAAAUGUGAAGUGUUUCGUCUGGAAGGCAUCAUUGAGACGAAUCCCUGUGCCAGAUACUUUGGCUACCAGGGGCUACACCAUUCCUUCUUCAUUAUGCUCGUUAUGCAGUAAAGAGAUGGAAACGGCGGAUCAUCUUAUUGCUAAAUGUGAAAUUACACAUUUGGUAAUCAAUUGGAUCUUAAGGUGGUGUGGUAUUCAAAACAGGGAAUUCUCAAGUGUAUUGGAGUUCACUGAUUAUGAAACCUCAUGGGGAAAUUGUCCAAAAAAGAAAUUGAUUUUAAGCACAAUUGUAACAUCCCAAAAUUUAAGCCCAAAAAUUUCAUUUUUGAUUAAUUAAUUCAUAAAACAUUCAUUAGGAAAUAUUAUAUAAACACGUCAUCUCAAAACCAAGUAUCAUGUCUGAAACCCACAACCAUGAAUAAAUGACAUAUCAGAGUACAAUCCCAGAAUACACUGUGCGGAAAUCAUAUGUGAGUGUGUGUGAUGCCAUGCUAUGCCGCCGGCUCCUUCCCCUUGGAUGAAGAGGUACCUGAAACUGUAAGCACAAAGCUUAGUGAGUUCCCCCAUCAUACCACAUACCAUACAAUACCAUCGGUAUCUUUCAACCGGUAAUCAUCAUCGAUAUCUUUCAACCGGUAACUGGGGACUAUUCCACCCCUUACCACUAGCAUACAAUAGCAAGAUAUAAGCAUGCAUUCAUACAUAUCUGGGUACUGACCUACCCCUUGGUCCUACGGACCACUAUCAUGGUAUCUAUCCCUAUCAUGCAACAUAUCAUAUAGACACAACACAUAACCAAACGCAUACCAAACCAAGAUAGAUUAUCACAAAGACAAUUAUCUUCUAAAUACUCCUUAAUGGUGGGAUGGCAUUGUGGCCUUAGACCCACCCCUACUGGAAGGUAACUCACCUCGUAUCUACUGAACUGUGCGGGAAUCCUCCGACUGCUGCCGCGGCUGCUCCGGAAGUCCUCCGGCUAAAAUUCCCACAAAACAAUUAGUCAGAAACUGACAUCUACCCUUAGGGUAAAAUGACCAUUUUACCCCUUGACCAAGUCAAAGUCAAAGUCAACUUCCAAUUGACCUGACUCGCCGAGUUGACUCAUCAACUCGCCGAGUCCCUAUCCUUUCAUCAGACCUCAAACUCGUCUUUACUCGUCGAGUUAGGCGAUGACUCGACGAGUUUUCCUUCUAAAUGAACACCGACUGAAUCCACAUCUGACUCGCCGAGUUAUAUGAAAAACUCGUCAAGUUCAUCAUCGACUGAUACUCAUGUCCUGACUUGACUCGACGAGUUGUAUGAACAACUCGUCGAGUUACUCUGCAUCCUAUGAACACGUUCUGUCCUCGACUCGCCGAGUUGAUGAACAACUCGCCGAGUUCCAUGAAGAUUGCCUUGGACUCGCCGAGUCAAUUCAUGCACUCGCUGAGUACCAUGAAUUCCCAGAAUACUUUGCUUAGUCCAGAACGUUGGGUCACUGCCCGGGACUCCCCAAAACCCUUCCACACUCAACUAAUCCUUACGACCUUCACUAAUAUGGGACCAAAACUCUUGGACUCACCGAGUAUAACAUAUUCCUUACUAAGAACCUUGGUUUCUGAUGUACAACACUUAGCCAAAUGAUAGGUCCAGGCCGCUAAACUCGAUCUAGCACGUAAAGUUACAAACUUUACGUGCAUGCAUGGGACAUUAGAGCUUAAAAGGCUCUAGAAUGGUUCUUUUGUUGCAUGGGUCCUUCCUUGGUUCAAAAGGCAACCUAGAUCUGACUUGUGGCUCAUAAAAUGACAUACUACAGAAGCCCAAACCCCCAACCAUGUUUGCAAACAUGGUUGGCCACCAAAUAUGGCUCAUAAAAGCCCUAAAUCACGCCAAAGAGGGAUCUAACAAAAGAAUGAGCAAGGUUCAGACUUUAUACCUUCCAAAGACUAUAAAUGAUGAACCAAACUCGAAUCCUUCAGUCCCCUCUUGAUCCUUCUAUGCUCUUCCUUCUUCCUUGAGACCAAAACUCACAAGAAUCACUCAAAAAGCCAUAGAUCUUCACAAAAACGGCUAGGGUUUGCUAUGAGGAGUGUUUGGGAGCAUAAAGGGAAAAGGAGGCUACAUAAGGUCGUUUAAAUGGGGUGCAAACCCCUGGAUUAGGGUUUUUGUCCAAACAGCGGCUACUCGCCGAGUCUGGGACUCGACUCGCCGAGUCCGCCACUUAAAUCCCGUGCCUCAUCCCGCCUUCUACUCAGCGAGUCAGUCCUUCGACUCGCCGAGUCCAGGGCCAAAAGUGCAAAAAUAAAGAAGAUUAAUUACAGAACACAUACUAAGAACCAGGUGCUACAAAUCUCCCCCACUUAUUUUAGACUUCGUCCUCGAAGUCUGCCGCUCGAUCCUGAAACAGCUCGGGGUAGUGCUCCAUCAUCUCACUCACCGGCUCCCAAGUCCACUCUGACCCCUUCCGGUGCUGCCACUGCACCUUCACGAGUUCUACUCUUUUGUUCCUCAGAUCCUUCGAUUUCCGGUCAAGGAUCACCACAGGCCACUCGAUGUAAUUCAGGCUGUCAUCAACCUGAAUGUCCUCCAAGGGUACCACCGACGUAUCGUUCACUAGGCACUUCCGCAGUUGAGAGACGUGGAAAGUGUUGUGGAUCUGACUAAGCUCGGCUGGCAAAUCCAGCCGGUACGCCACCUUGCCCACCCGGGCUACAACCCUGAACGGUCAGAUAUACCUUGGGCCCAACUUGCCCCGCUUCCUGAAUCGGAUGACGCCCUUCCAUGGCGACACCUUCAGGAGAACCAUAUCCCCGACCUAGAAUUUCAGGUCUGAUCGACGCUUGUCGGCAUAACUUUUCUGCCGACUCUGAGCAGUCUGAAGCCUGCUCCGGACCUGCUGAAUCUUUUCCGUCGUCUUAAGCACUACUUCGGUGCUCCCCAUGACUCUCUGGCCAACCUCACCCCAACAUAUCGGGGUCCUGCACCUCCUCCCAUNGGUCGAUACUCGCAUGAUAGCUGUUAUUAUACGAGAACUCCGCCAACGGGAGGUAGGUAUCCCAACUACCUCCGAAAUCUAAAACGCAUGCCCGCAGCAUAUCCUCCAGAGUCUGGAUGGUCCGCUCGCUCUGUCCAUCCGUCUGCGGGUGAAAAGCGGUGCUAAAAUGCAGACGAGUACCCAGCUCGUCAUGAAACCUCUUCUAAAACCUGGAAGUAAACCGCACGUCUCUGUCCGAAAUCACCGAGACUGGCACUUCGUGUCGCGUCAUCACCUCCCUGAUAUAGAUAUCGGCCAAUUUCUCUGCCGAGAUGCUCUCCUGAAUCGGAAUAAAGUGGGCGCUCUUGGUCAAUCGAUCCAUGAUGACUCAUAUCAAAUCCAUCCCCCGCGCGGUCCUGGGAAGUUUUGUAAUAAAAUCCAUCGUAAUAUCCUCCCAUUUCCACAGCGGGAUAUCUAACGGCUGCAUCUUGCCCUGUGGUCUCUGAUGCUCGGCCUUGACCUUCCUGCAGGUCAAGCACCGCUCCACGUACCAUGCCAUAUCCCGCUUCAUGCAGGGCCACCAAUAGUCCAAACGAAGAUCCCUAUAAAUCUUCGUCGCCCCGGGGUGAAUAGAGAAUCGGGAUUUGUGCGCCUCCUCCAUCAGGACCUGGCGCACUCCUCCAUGAUAAGGGACCUACACCCUACGAUGAAGAGUCAAUAAAUCCCAGCUAUCAUAAUCGAAAGAGGAAACCUGCCCUACAAUCCGCUCACUCUGCCGAUGUUCCUCCUUCAUGGCCUCCUGCUGAGCCUCUCGGAUCCGCUCCAGAAGCGGAGUCAUCACUGUCAUCCUUAGACAGAUAUCCCUAAUCGGCGCUGCCUUGAGGCUAAGCGCAUCGUCCAUGACAUUGGCCUUCCCCGGAUGGCAGAGGAUCUCACAAUCAUAAUCCUUCACCAAAUCAAGCCACCGGCGCUGCCUCAUAUUUAGAUUUGGCUGGUCCAUGAGAUACCUCAAACUCUUGUGGUCCAUGUAAAUCGUACAACGAACCCCAUAGAGGUAAUGACGCCAAAUCUUGAGGGCAAACACAAUAGCCCCCAGCUCCAAAUCAUGCGUCGGGUAGUUCGCCUCGUGAGGCUUCAGCUGCCUCGACGCGUAAGCGAUGACAUGCCCUCUCUGCAUCAAUACCGCUCCCAAACCUGCGAUGGAUGCAUCACAGUACACAACAAAAUCCUCCAUGCCCUCUGGCAGGGCUACGAUUGGCACCUCGCACAAUCUCUGUCUUAGCGUCUUAAAUGCGGCCUGCUGCUCAGGCCCCCAGCGAUACACUACCGACUUCUUAGUCAGUCGGGUGAGCGGAACUGCUAUCUUGGAGAAGUCCUGAAUGAAUCUCCGAUAGUAGCCUGCCAACCCUAGAAAGCUCCGAAUCUCAGAUGGAGACCUCGGAACCUCCCAAUUCAUCACGGCCUCCACCUUGGCCGGAUCUACCGAAAUCCCGUUCUGGUUGACAAGGUGCCCAAGAAACUGCACCUCGCACAACCAGAACUCACACUUGGAGAACUUAGCAUACAAGUUCUCCCUCCUCAAAGUCUCCAGAACCUCCCGUAGAUGCUCCUCAUGUUGCUCCCGCGUCUUGGAAUAAACCAAGAUGUCAUCAAUAAACACUAUUACAGACCGAUCCAACAUCGGUCUACACACACGUUUCAUGAGAUCCAUGAAUGCGGCAGGAGCAUUGGUGAGCCCGAAAGGCAUCACCACAAAACUCAUAAUGACCAUAACGCGUCCGAAACGCAGUCUUCUGCACAUCCUCCUCUCUAACCCUCAUCUGAUGAUACCCUGAACGCAAAUCAAUCUUGGAGAACCAAGAUGCUCCCUGAAGCUGGUCAAAGAGUUCGUCAAUCCUCGGGAGUGGGUAGCGGUUCUUCACCGUUACCUUGUUCAGCUCUCGAUAAUCUAUACACAUCCGAUGCGACCCGUCCUUCUUCCUCACAAACAGAAUCGGGGCUCCCCAGGGUGAACUGCUCGGUCUAAUAAAACCCUUGUCUAACAGCUCCUGCAGCUGUGUAGACAACUCCUGCAUCUCAGGAGGAGCCAACCGAUACGACGCCUUGGCUAUCGGAGCCACACCAGGGACCAGGUCGAUCCUGAAUUCCACCUGUCGUUCCGGAGGUAUCCCAGACAACUCAUCGGGGAAUACGUCCGCGAACUCCCGUACCACAGGAACGGUGACGUUUUCUAAAUUUCGUUCAUUAUUCAAGCAUUUGAUCAUCAAUUUUUGAAAAUUUAUAGGUUAUUUUCUUAUAAAACUCAUUUUCAUUGUAAAAAAAAGAUAUUAGUAGCAAACAUCAUCGAUAAUUUGUUUACGUAGAGUGAGCAAAAACCAGAAUACAAUUAGACCGAAACCGCAAUGAAAACUAACAGUUUUAAGUUUUUCAAAAACCAAACUUUUAUAGCGCAGUACGAUUUUAGUUUUUUAAAACCAAAAAUAACCGAACCGCACCUAUUAUAUGCAAUAUUUAAUUAAUUACUAAUGUGCUAUUUAUUAUAAAAAUUGAAAUAACUAUGUUUUUUUAUUUAUCUUAUACCUAAUAUUUUUAUUAAUAUUAUAAGUAAUAUGUUUAAACUUUUAAAACCGCUAAAAAAAUCUCAAUUAUCCAAAGAGUCAUGAAAAUUGUGAAAUGUUUGACUGCGUUUAAAACCGCAUAGAUAACCGCACCAAACCCAUCCGGUUAAUAACCGAACAAUUAAAAAAAUAACCGCAUCGGUAUAGUGCAGUGCGGCUUUGGCGAAAAUCCAUGCCAAACCGCAUUGUGGUCGCCGCUUUACAAUAAUAAUAUAUUCUCAAGCUUCAAAAGACUAACAAACAAUCCAAAAGAAAACAAAUUCUACAACCUAAUUACGAAGAGGAAAUUCUGAUAAUGUCACAUGUUGAUGUUUAAGUCCCGUCAUGGACAUACUGGAAUUAUGUGUUAGUUUAUGAGUAAAUUAGAUAUUUGUAUUUGCCGAUUUAAAAAAAAAAAAAAGGUUGAUGUUCAAGUUCAUAAUUCCCAUAUAUGUUUUUUUGUUCUAUUAAUUAAUGAAACCAAAUUCAUAAGUGGAUUAUAUAAAUUUGUGUACAUGAAUAUGUAUUAUGUUUCAUGAUGAUUUUAAAGAUCAAGUGUUAAAUAUACGCAUGAACGGACAUGGUUUAAUACCAAACUUUAACAAACAUAAUAUCAACAAAAAAAAAUAGACGAAAAAGAUUAAACUAGUUGCUGUUUGUGGCAUUAGAUGUGGGGUAAUAUUAAAUGUUUCGUUAAGGGAACGGUCAAAACUAACUGACACAGUUGAAAGGGUGCGGUUACAGAUUUGCAUAUUUAAUGCAUUGGACCACACUUUGAUGCUUUACUUUAUGGCGCCAUUCAAACUGAGCCAAACCCGUGCUAUCAUAUACUCUUCCAAUAUAAACGAUUAACUAACAAUAUUUAUUUUACAUGUAAUUUAAUAAAGAGACAAACUGCAAAAUCGGUCAUUUGCAAAAAAAAUAGUGGAUAUGUUUAAAAAAAAUUUAAUUUGCAUGAAUUGUCUAAAACAAAAAAUUUCUAUGGUUUGAUACUUGAAAAUUUGAAAAGUCUAUUUUGCCUUUUAUAUAUAUAUAUAUAUAUAUAUAUAUAUAUAUAUAUNNNNNNNNNNNNNNNNNNNNNNNNNNNNNNNNNNNNNNNNNNNNNNNNNNNNNNNNNNNNNNNNNNNNNNNNNNNNNNNNNNNNNNNNNNNNNNNNNNNNNNNNNNNNNNNNNNNNNNNNNNNNNNNNNNNNNNNNNNNNNNNNNNNNNNNNNNNNNNNNNNNNNNNNNNNNNNNNNNNNNNNNNNNNNNNNNNNNNNNNNNNNNNNNNNNNNNNNNNNNNNNNNNNNNNNNNNNNNNNNNNNNNNNNNNNNNNNNNNNNNNNNNNNNNNNNNNNNNNNNNNNNNNNNNNNNNNNNNNNNNNNNNNNNNNNNNNNNNNNNNNNNNNNNNNNNNNNNNNNNNNNNNNNNNNNNNNNNNNNNNNNNNNNNNNNNNNNNNNNNNNNNNNNNNNNNNNNNNNNNNNNNNNNNNNNNNNNNNNNNNNNNNNNNNNNNNNNNNNNNNNNNNNNNNNNNNNNNNNNNNNNNNNNNNNNNNNNNNNNNNNNNNNNNNNNNNNNNNNNNNNNNNNNNNNNNNNNNNNNNNNNNNNNNNNNNNNNNNNNNNNNNNNNNNNNNNNNNNNNNNNNNNNNNNNNNNNNNNNNNNNNNNNNNNNNNNNNNNNNNNNNNNNNNNNNNNNNNNNNNNNNNNNNNNNNNNNNNNNNNNNNNNNNNNNNNNNNNNNNNNNNNNNNNNNNNNNNNNNNNNNNNNNNNNNNNNNNNNNNNNNNNNNNNNNNNNNNNNNNNNNNNNNNNNNNNNNNNNNNNNNNNNNNNNNNNNNNNNNNNNNNNNNNNNNNNNNNNNNNNNNNNNNNNNNNNNNNNNNNNNNNNNNNNNNNNNNNNNNNUAUAUAUAUCAAGCCCGGAUUUGACCAUGGGCAAACAAUGCAACCACACAGGGCCCAUUUAUUUUAGGGACCCAAAUUUUUUUAUAGGUUAUAUACAUGAUAGCCAAACAAGAAAGAGACUAAGGCUGAAGGUUAUCAAUCACCCGUCGACCAAACACCAACAGAAGAUAGAAGUGAAGUUACGAAGUCGAUAUCCAAAAUUGCACAACUAGUCGACCACCUCUAUGAAAUCCUCCAUCGAUUCAGCAGCGUGCAACAAUUUUCAGGUAAAAGGUUUAUAUUUUUCUUUUUGUUUCAAGCCUUGAAUCGGAAUUGUAAAUCAAAUUAUCAGAUUAUCAGUCUAUCAGACUAUGAGGUUAUGUUGAUUGUUUAAUAUUUAUCAGAAAUCAGAUUGGCAGCUAGCAAAUGUAAUACUAUUGAUAAACUAUCAAUAAAUCAGCAUGAUUUAUGUAAGUUUUAAUUUUCAUACCACUCUAGGUUACUCCUAGCUUUCCUAACGUAAAUCAUUGAGUUUUUUUAGUAUUUGUGAACACAAUAUCAAGGUUCUACCACUCUAGGUUCAGUAAAUAACAUCUAGGUAGGAUUUUAGGCAAGAAAGAAUAUAAACACAUGAUUUGAAACCCCAUAAAUCAACUCACGUAAGUUGUAACUUCUGUGGAGUUAAUCAAUGAAUGUGUGUGUUCUUGUGUAAAGAAAGUUUCUUGCAUACACAAGACUCGAAGAAAUGUUCCUAUAAUUUUUCUUAUUUUAAGGAUUAACACUAAAAUGGUAUAAAAACCUAUGUUGUAGAGUUCAAAAGGACAUGUAGCAAUCUGGUUCAUGGGGUUAGAUUGAGUGUUAUAACUAUGGAUGAUAAUCUAUAUAGUGAAACAUGGAAUGGUUGUUACCAAGUUGAUAAGAGCUUGGUACAACUGCAGUUUUAAGACAAAUUCUUAAAGAAACCAAAUAAUGAAAAUUAAGUGUUUAAUGAAGAAUUGGAUAAUAUUUUGUUGGGUAAUCAGAGGUUAAGGAACCAUCUUCAAGGUAUGGUGUAAUGGUCAGUAAAUGGACAAGUGAUAUACGGUGUUGUUGGUGAAACAUAUCCUUUACCUGGGUUACUCAAAAGAAGACUAAAUUGACGACAAAAAAGGGGCCUUUUUCCGGCUUGUCCUGGGCAUUUAAAUGCUCAAAACCGGACNNNNNNNNNNNNNNNNNNNNNNNNNNNNNNNNNNNNNNNNNNNNNNNNNNNNNNNNNNNNNNNNNNNNNNNNNNNNNNNNNNNNNNNNNNNNNNNNNNNNNNNNNNNNNNNNNNNNNNNNNNNNNNNNNNNNNNNNNNNNNNNNNNNNNNNNNNNNNNNNNNNNNNNNNNNNNNNNNNNNNNNNNNNNNNNNNNNNNNNNNNNNNNNNNNNNNNNNNNNNNNNNNNNNNNNNNNNNNNNNNNNNNNNNNNNNNNNNNNNNNNNNNNNNNNNNNNNNNNNNNNNNNNNNNNNNNNNNNNNNNNNNNNNNNNNNNNNNNNNNNNNNNNNNNNNNNNNNNNNNNNNNNNNNNNNNNNNNNNNNNNNNNNNNNNNNNNNNNNNNNNNNNNNNNNNNNNNNNNNNNNNNNNNNNNNNNNNNNNNNNNNNNNNNNNNNNNNNNNNNNNNNNNNNNNNNNNNNNNNNNNNNNNNNNNNNNNNNNNNNNNNNNNNNNNNNNNNNNNNNNNNNNNNNNNNNNNNNNNNNNNNNNNNNNNNNNNNNNNNNNNNNNNNNNNNNNNNNNNNNNNNNNNNNNNNNNNNNNNNNNNNNNNNNNNNNNNNNNNNNNNNNNNNNNNNNNNNNNNNNNNNNNNNNNNNNNNNNNNNNNNNNNNNNNNNNNNNNNNNNNNNNNNNNNNNNNNNNNNNNNNNNNNNNNNNNNNNNNNNNNNNNNNNNNNNNNNNNNNNNNNNNNNNNNNNNNNNNNNNNNNNNNNNNNNNNNNNNNNNNNNNNNNNNNNNNNNNNNNNNNNNNNNNNNNNNNNNNNNNNNNNNNNNNNNNNNNNNNNNNNNNNNNNNNNNNNNNNNNNNNNNNNNNNNNNNNNNNNNNNNNNNNNNNNNNNNNNNNNNNNNNNNNNNNNNNNNNNNNNNNNNNNNNNNNNNNNNNNNNNNNNNNNNNNNNNNNNNNNNNNNNNNNNNNNNNNNNNNNNNNNNNNNNNNNNNNNNNNNNNNNNNNNNNNNNNNNNNNNNNNNNNNNNNNNNNNNNNNNNNNNNNNNNNNNNNNNNNNNNNNNNNNNNNNNNNNNNNNNNNNNNNNNNNNNNNNNNNNNNNNNNNNNNNNNNNNNNNNNNNNNNNNNNNNNNNNNNNNNNNNNNNNNNNNNNNNNNNNNNNNNNNNNNNNNNNNNNNNNNNNNNNNNNNNNNNNNNNNNNNNNNNNNNNNNNNNNNNNNNNNNNNNNNNNNNNNNNNNNNNNNNNNNNNNNNNNNNNNNNNNNNNNNNNNNNNNNNNNNNNNNNNNNNNNNNNNNNNNNNNNNNNNNNNNNNNNNNNNNNNNNNNNNNNNNNNNNNNNNNNNNNNNNNNNNNNNNNNNNNNNNNNNNNNNNNNNNNNNNNNNNNNNNNNNNNNNNNNNNNNNNNNNNNNNNNNNNNNNNNNNNNNNNNNNNNNNNNNNNNNNNNNNNNNNNNNNNUAUAUAUAUAUAUAUAUAUAUAUUGUUUAUUUGUUUUAAUUGUUUUAUAAUUCAAAGCGGUCGCCACCCUUCAUCAUUGGUAAGUAUGUUACUUCUCAUCACCUUCAUUCCGCCUCUCCUUCUCGAACCAAUGGAUUCAUGUAUUGGAGCUUGAAACCUGCAAUCAUGAAACAUCGAUGAUUGAACUCCAUUGUCGGACAUCACAUGUUUUAUACAAUGUUCACCGUAUUCCACCCCAUUGUCGGUUUCAUAAACACACCUUUGAGAAACCCCUAUUUACCUUUCUGGAGGUCCGAUUAAACUUUGAUCUAUAUAGCACAUUUUGGCGAAUUUGGUCAGGUUCUGUGAAACUCUAAUCUUUAUAGAGAGCGUGUGUGGAGAAAUUAGAUGUUCAUAUUAGAUCAAAAGAAGAUGAAAGUCGAUCUAUGUGUAUCAGAGAAACAAGGGUGAGUUUGGGUUUGAAAUCAGAUGCAAUAUGUUUGGGUUUUAUGGAUUCCAAAUUUGGAAAUAGAUAAUAGAUUUUAGGUGAGGUGAUUCAUCGGUAAGAAGAGAUGGAAGAAAAGAUCAAUUCAGUGGGUUAUGUUCUCAGGUGACCACAACCACCAACCACCAACCACCGUGUUAUACUACCACACGAGUCAACUGAGUUAACAAUCCUAAUUUUUCAAUUUUUUAAGUCGAUCAUCAAUUAUGUGAGUGUGAGUUUGAGUUGCAGUUAUCGAUUCAUCAAUUAUGUAUUAUUUUUUAGUUUUCUAUAUGUAUGUGAUUUUAUUUGGGGAAAAAUAUGAUGAAGAAGACGACCAUAUAAGAGAGAGAGAGAGGGGGGGGGGGGGGUUACCGGCGGAGAGGGGUGGGGUAGGGUAAAAUUUUAUUUUUUAUUUUUUAAUUAUUUAAAUAUUAAAAUAAAUAAAGAAAAUGGAAAAAUGAAAUGAAAAGGGAAAAAUUGACCUUUCAAGUGUACAAUGGACCAAAUUCACGGGAAAUUUCUACUUUUAGAACAAAAUUCAUGAGAAAUUCAUGAUUUUGAAACUUCCAUACAAGUUGGAAACUUUUGGACGUCAUCCACAAUUUAAUCAAAUAAACACUAAUCAAACAUAUAGUCUUUUAAAAACAAACAACUGAUUAAGAGGGUGUUUGGAUAGGGAAAAAGAGGGUGCUUAUUGGUUAUUUGUAACAUCCGGAUAUCCAGGUAUGGGAAUUUGAGUAUUUUUAUAUUGGGAAAUGAGGAGACUCGGCGAGUUGACGCCUCAACUCGUCGAGUAGGAUCGCGUUUUGGGGACCAGUUUAAUGAAGGGACUCGACGAGUCGGGUAUUUGGACUCGCCGAGUCGGCGCUGUCAAGGAAAACCCUAAUUGUCCGGGUUUGGGACCUAUUUAAAGGCCCUUAUGGCCUUCAGUGGCGGCCACCUACACCUUUGAGAGACUCCUAUCGAACCAGAGAGCUGAGAGAGUGAAGAAGAGCCAUUUUGGAGCAUUCUUGAGGUGGUUGUGCAAUGGAGUAGUCAUUUCCAGCAAAGGGAGGUCAAGGGGGGUGUCGAUUCAGAGCUUCUGAGCUUGCAUCUUCACCAUAGAGGUAUCAAAUCGUUCUCCCUUUUCUGUUUUGGGUAAGAUUGGUGAUUUUAGGGUUUUCUAGCUUCUUUUAUGGCUUGAUUUGUGGAGUAUAGUGUCCCAUUGAGUGUGAAGCCAUAGAUCUGGACCCAAAGAGGUCCAGAGAGUCCCUUCCAUCCUGCUUUAUGCAUUCUAUUUGGAGUUUUGAGCUAGGGUUGUUAUGUAAUGAAGGGUUUCACCCAAAUGAGCUUGUAGAACCUUGCAUGAGUGCCCAAGGUUCGACCUUUUCGUGGUUAUUGGCUUUGAGGGAGUUAGAUCUAUGGUUUGGUGAAGCAGAUCUGACCUCAGAAGGUCAGAUGAGGGUUGUCAUGGGAGCAAAUCGCCGAGUCCAUAGGCAGACUUGACGAGUUGAGUCGGGGUUGCCUCGCAUUUCGUUGCCGAGUAACUCGACGAGUAGAGAGGGAACUCGUUGUGUCUAAGAGGUUAAAAAGAAUUUAGAGAACCCGCAUGGACUCACCGAGUCACUCUUGUGUACUCGCCGAGUCUGGUCAGUGUUGACCGUUGACUUGAGUUGUCUUAUGUUGACUUUGGGAGUUUUGGUCAACAGAGGUAAUAGAGGUCAGGGAGGGGUAAAAUGGUCUUUUACCCAUUACCUGACUAGAGAGGGAAAGAGUAAUCGCCGGUUAAUUAGAGUUGGGACUUCGAGUACUAAUUAGAGAUAUUUGCCUUAUGUGUUAGGCGGUGGCAAGUCCGAGGUUCGCAUGUGCAGAUAAUUGCUUUCUGAUUUCCAGGUGAGUCUUCUCACUAUACUUUACCUUGAGUAGGUAACCAGAGUUAUGUGACAGAGUAUUUGUAUGUUAUGUGUGUUACUUGUUGUACUGCAUUAUUUCUAUGUGAUUUAUGCUGUGCAUGUUUGCAGAGUUGGAACCGGAGGGUUCCUAGAGUUAGAACCGGAAGGUUCACAGAGUUAGAACCAGAGGGUUCACAGAGUAGGGUCCACGGACCCACAGAGUUAUAGCCUCGAGUGGCUAAUAUGUGUUAUGUGUGGUAUUUUGGGGAACUCACUAAGCUUCGUGCUUACAGUGUUUUGUGUUAUGUGUUUCAGGUUUCUUUCAGGAUCACGGGACGGCACCGGCUCGAUUGUACACACCAGAGAAAGAGUCAUGUUUUGAGGAUCCUGAUUUAUUAUGCAAGUGAAAAUGGAGUUAUGUUUUGUAAUUCGAUUAUGAAUGAGAAUUUAAGCAAAGUGUUUUUUUUAGAAUUAAACGAUUAUUUUUAAAUGAAAAAUUGUUUUGAAAUUUUUGGUGUUACAUUAUUGUUUAUUCCCACCACAAUAAGUUGAGUUUAAGUGUUUGGAUAGAAAUCCUUAAAAAUCAGCUUAUUGUGGUAGGGAUAAGUUAAAUAAGCUGUUUUUAAUAAGCAACCCCCUUGCUUAGAACUUAUUGCUUAUUAGUGAUUUGAGAAUUUACCGAAUUGCCCUUUUAAAAUAACGAUACAUAUAAACCCAUAAACCCAUUGUCGAUCAAAUCCUUCACAAUCUUCUGUCGUUCGCCAUUCCCUUCUCGCAGGAAUUGUCAUCGAGAGAACCCUGGAAGCCAAUGACGAUCGACAAGUUUGCGUUUUCAUAGAUUUUUUUUCAUCUUGCAUAAAUGGCACCUGUGAUGUUUCUUUUUUUUCUUUUUCUUCUACCUGUUUGUUGCUUCCCUUCUAGCCCAUGUGAUGCUUUUUUUUCUUCAUCCUUGAUUCUUGUUGUUAUUUGCUGUAAUUGAUGCUAGUGAUUCUUGUUUGCAUCUACAAAUUCCUCUGCGUGUUUGAUACAACAUUAGGGUGAAAAUUUAGAAUUUUCUUCAUUAAUUACCAUGAUUCAAUAUAGGUAAUGGACACUAUUAAUGUUCAUGAUGUGGGUAUUGAUACACCCAAACUGAAAGUUACAAAUAGAUUUAAUUGGGAUCUUCAUACAUUCAAGUUGUUUCUUGAGGAAUGUAUGAACGAGAUAAAAAACGGGAAUAGACCAGGUACUUAUUUCAAUAAGACCGCAUGCCAAAAUAUAUGUAAGAGGCUUUUGGAACAAACAUUUAGAGAUUUGAACAGAAAUCAAAUGAAAAACAAAUGGAACAUUAUGCGGAAAUAGUUCAAAUAUUAUGACCGUUUAACUAGACUAGAAAUGGAAAUUUCAAUUGAUUCCGUGAGAAAUAUAAUCUCAACAUUAAAGGAAUGGUGGGAUGAGAAGACAAAUGUAAUAAUUAUAAAUUUUAUUUAGCAAUUUAUUAUUUGUAUUGUGUUUUUCGUGACAUUCUCAUUUUGUAUAUAUAUGAAGAUAAAGAGUAUGCUAAGUUUAAGGAUAAGAAUUUGGAGGUAUUUAAGACAUAUUAAGAGGCUUUAUUUUAGGAUACCUUAGCUAUUAGAGACAAGGCUAAAGUACCUUGCGAAUUUGGCGACAGUAGCACUCCGGAUGAUGUACACUUUAUGGAUAUUACGGAUGGAAAAGUAGCUAGUGACGAAGUCCUCUUAUUUGAUGACGUUGAUCCUUUUUCUCACAUAUGAUAGUUCUAGUAAGAAAAUGAGGGGAAAGAAGUUAACCCCAAGGAGUGAAAACAAAAGAAAUUUUGAAGGAAAAAGUGAAGGAAAAGUGAUGGAAAAAGUAUGGUAAGCUCGUUAUAUGAAGAGAAACCAGACAUUGUUUUUGAUGUUUUGUUAACAAGGAGCAUUCGGACCUCAAGACAAACCACACACUCACCAACAACAGAAGAUUGAAUGGCAAUUGUGUCUACUUUCUUGGGUUUUAAAGAAGGCUCAAUAGGAUAUUUGGAAGCAUUAGAGGUCUUUCUAUUGAAGCCAACUCGUCAGAAUUUUAUGGCUCCAAAGACUGAUGAAACAAAGAUGGAGUUUCUCAACUGGCUUAUAGAGAAAAAGAAGUAGUUGAAGACAUACUCUAGUUUUAUGUCAUGUGUUAGACUUAUCUUUUAUCUAUUAGGUUGACUUUAAAUGUUUGUCAUGUGUUAGACUUAUCCUUUUAUCUAUUAGGUUGACUUUAAACGGUUGUUUUUUGUUUGUUUUAAUGCAAUUCCGUUUCAUGUUUGUUUUGUUGUCAAUUUUGCCCUUGCCCCAUGAUUUUGCCCUUGUUUCCUUUUCCAUGAUUUUGCCAUGAUUUUAUCUAGUAGGUGGUAAAUUUCCAUCUUACUCUUGUUUCCUUUUCCUAUACUAACAGGUUAUUUCAUGUUAGUGUUGAAUCAUGACCAGUGACUGUGAAAGUGACGACUCAUAUGAUAGUGACGACUCAUGUGAUGAAAUUGAAGAAAAUGAAGAGAUUCAAACGCUUCUUUUACGUGGGCUUGUUGUCAAAGGGUUACUAUUGACUCAUAAAUCGGAAAACAUAUGUAGACGUCGUUUUUCAUCUUCGCGCAUAGGAAGCAUGCUUAUCAAUGAAAUACUUAACGAUCAUGAGAGAUGAUGUUAUGAACUUUUCAGAUUACAAGUCUUAGUUUUCAACAUGUUAUGUAAGGAUCUUGUUGCACAUUAUGGGUUAAAGAAAUCACGUCGUGUAUCUAUUCAAGAGUCCUUUGGUAUUUUCUUGUUAUAUUUAGCACAUGGAUGUGGAAAUCGGUUAGUUCAAGAGUUCUUUAACCAUUCUGGGGAAACAAUCCAUAGGCAUUUUCAUAAAGUCUUGGAUGUUGUGGUUAACCUAAGUAAGGACAUCAUCAAACCAAAUGCUAACUAUAACGAAACUGUACCAGAACAUAUUUUAAAUAACCCCCAAUAUUAUCCAUACUUCAAGGUACUUAUUUUAUUGCAAAGUUAUGUUAUUUGGUGAAUUUGUGUAAUUGUAAAAAUAAUUUGUAACUUAUUAUAUUUUUUAAAUUGUAGGAUUGUAUUGGUGCUAUCAAUGGAACACACAUGAAGGCCACUGUUCCGCAACGUGAUCAAAUCAAAUACGUUGGACGAAAUAAUUAUGUUACUCAAAAUAUUAUGGUAACAUGUGAUUUUAACAUGUGCUUUACAUUUGAGUGGGCCGGAUGUGAGGGGAGCGCACAUGACACGGGAAUUUUCAAUGAAGCACAAAGGAGACGUGAAGUUAAGUUUCCACUUCCAGCCAAUGGUUAGUAUUAUUAUUUAUUAAUAGAAGUUUUAUAUUUUCAAACCGGGAUAAAUGAAUAACAAUCAUAUUGUAACAUACUAAAAAUACGAGCCAAAAUUUUCAUUUUUGAUAUAGCAAUUUAAUAAAACAAUGUAUAGAAAACAUCAUCAAGUUAUUUCAUUUCAUAAAAAGUCAUAAAUCAUAAGUCUCAAAAUCAUGUCAUCACAUAGUAACAAUGUCAAAGUACAAAUCCCAAGAAUCUUCUAUGCGGGAAUCGUGUGUGUGUGAUGCGCUGCUACCAUACCGACUCCUUUUCCUUCGAAGAGGAAGGACCUGAAACACCAACUGAAACUGUAAGCACAAAGCUUAGUGAGUUCCCCCAUCAUACCACAUACCAUACAAAAAACAUACUGCCAAGCAUAUCAGGGUGCCCGACCUACCCUGCUGAGCAUAUUUAGGUGCUCAACCUACCCUUUUCAGGCAUACCAAGGUUCCCAACCUACCCCUUGUCAAGCAUAUCUAGGUGCUCGACCUAUCCCGCCAGACAUAUCUAGGUGCCCGACCUACCCUCCGGUUAUUUCAAUCGGCUACGGGGACUAUUGCACCCCUACCACUACCACAUAAUAACAUAACAUAUCAUAAUGUCAGACACGUAUGGGUGCCCAACCUACCCUGCAGGUACAUCUCAACCGGGUCCGGGGACUAGUCCCCUAUCUACCAGUAUCACAUAAUCACAUAACAUACUAGCACAUAAAGCAUAACAGAUAGUGGCAUACCGGACAAUUAUCACAAAGAGAAUCAUCUUAACAAACAACUCCUACUUGUGGGCCGACAUUGUGGCCUUAGAGCCACUUCUACUGGAAGGUAACUCACCUCAAUGUCGUGAAGUAGCUGAACUGUCCUCGAUGCUGGGAUUAACUCUCCUGAAACUCCUACACAUAACAUCUCUUUAAUUACUCUUUCAAACUUAUAACCCUUUUAAGGGUCAAUUCUGGUCAAUGGUAAAAGUCAAAGGUCAACACUCUGGUCAAAGUCAACCUUUUGGUCCAAGUCAACAUUCUGGUCCAAGUCAAUAUUCUGGUUAACUUAACUCACCGAUUUUGUCUGUCAGCUCGUCGAGUUCCAUGAUUUAGAGAAUCUCGAACUCGAUCUAACUCGUUGAGUUACCCUUUAACUUUCCAAGUUUCUCCUCAUGAUAGAAUCGGGACUUUCCGUUUGAACUCGUCGAGUCCUUCCUUGGACUCGUCGAGUGCUCCUUCAUACAGAGUCGGGGUAUUUCACUCAUAACUCGUUGAGUUCAUCCUUGAACUCGUCGAGUUCCUCUUCAUGUAUGUUGGGAAAUUUUGCUCAUCAACUCGCCGAGUUAUCCUUGAACUCAUCGAUUUCCUCUUCAUACAAAUCGGGCCAUUUUGCUAUCAACUCGCCGAGUUCUUUGAUCUUCAAGUCCAUAAAUACGUCCAACUCGCUGAGUCAUCUUAUAGACUCAACAAUUUUUUUCAGUAACAGAAAAAGGUUGGGGAACCACUACCUUCUGAGUUCUUAUCAACAGUUGAAGAAAUCAAAUCAAAAACUCACCGAGUCCUAUGAACGACUCGUCGAGUCCCCCAAAGUCUAAUUCCAUACAUUCGAUUUUAGUUGGGCUUAAUGCAUCCAAAACAUAGAUCUGACCUCCUAGGGUCUAUAUAACACGUAAGGUUACAAACUUUACAUUCAUGCAUGGGCUAUUUAGCUCCAAUAGCCCUAAAAGUGGUUCAUAUGAUGCAUGGGACUCCCAUGGCCAUAAAGUUGGCACCUUUAUGCAAUGGAGUCCCUCAAAGACCCUGGAUCUAAAGUCUUGACCCCAAACAUGCUUGCAUCCGUGAAUGGUUCCAAAAAUGGUUCUUUAAAGCCCUAAACUACUCCAUGAAGGGAUCUAAUAGAUGAAUAGACAAGGUAUAGACUUUAUACCUCAAAUGAGCUGGAAAUGCAGCACAAACUCUAAAUCUACUUGCCUCAUCUUGAAUCCCCAAACUUUCCUCUUCCUUCUCAAGCUUCAAAUCACCAAGAACACACAAAAAAGGCUCAAGAACACUCAAAUGGAUUAGGGUUUCGUGAACAAGGUUGGAGGUGAUGGAGGCUGUAGUUGAGGCCAAUUAAGGUGUUUAAAUAAGGUGCAAACUCUUAAAAUAAGGGUUUUACUCUGGCAGACCUACUCGUCGAGUCGAGGCCUCUUGACUGGUCGAAUAGGCUUUAAUUUCGCGUCCAAUCCUUCGUUCCCACUCAACGAGUCUAGGGCCUCCAACUUGUCGAGUCCUUUUGCAAAAAUGAAAAUUUUAAUUUAAAAUACAUACCAGGAACCAGAAGUUACACAUAUGCUUUAUUUGUACCUUUAUAGGUAAGUUUUACCUUGUAAACAUUGGAUAUCCAAAUACAAAAGGCUAUCUUGCUCCCUACAAAGGUUCAAACAACCAUUAUCAUAUUCCUAAUUUUGACGUGGACAGACUCGUGCCGCGCCGGAACCAAAACGCUUCAAAGAAAAUUUUAACUAUUGUCAUUCCUCACUUCGCAAUGUAACUGAACGAACUUUUGGAGUCUGGAAGGCUCGAUGGGUGUUACUAAGAGAUAUGCAUGUAAAUUUCGACUUUGAGACCCAAGUGAAAAUUGUGCUUGUUUCAAUGGCAAUUCACCGUUACAUUAGAAUGAGCAGUAGUGGUGAUGCAACAUUUCAAAUAGCGCAAGAAGAAUCUUAUAGUUCACACAAUGAUGAAGAACCCGAUGAUGGUAUUGAGCCACAUGACGAAGUAUCAUGUGCACAACGUAGAAAUGACGAUAUGUAUAUGAGUGCAGUACGCGAUAUGAUUGUGGGACAAAUUUUCUUCAAUUCAAACACUCGUGCACGCAAUGACGUAUGAUUUGUUUUCAAACUCUUUGGUAUUUUCAUUUUAUGGUUUAAUGCAGUAACAUAGAACUAUUUUGGAUAAUAUGGAAUGGGUUAUAACUGUAUUUGAUGGAUAAUAUGGAUUUGGAAUGAAAUUUGUGGUCUAAUAUAGGUUUGCAUGAUAAUUGUUUUUUAGUUCUUAUGGAUAAGAAAAUUAUGGUAUGAUGUUUCUUGAUUAUUUCGAAAGAUGUAUCUGAUCAAUUUAAAAAUAAGUGUAAAAAUAAUGUGAUAUAUGUUUUUUUAGUUCUUAUGGAUAAGAAAAUUAUUAUUAUUAUUCAAAAACCAAACUAUUUUGUUUUAAUAAGAAAAAUAUGUCAACAUAUAAUAGGAAGCCAUUUUUGGUCAUUUUACUCAUAUAAACUGUUUUAUUUGCCAAAUAUUUAAAAAUGCUUAUCAAUUUAUUGCUUAUCUCCACCGCUAUAAGCUAAUCCAAACACUUUUGCAAAAACUGUUUUUGCACACCGCAAUAAGCUAAUAAGAUAUAAACUAAUUUAUACAAACACCUUUUGACUAGUAGAUAGGAAAAUAAUCAUGUACUAAACUAUAUCUCUUUUAUAAAGAAAAUGGUUGUGUUUUUCUAAAGUAAUUUAAAAUACAAAAUAUAUUAUAUUCUUUUGAAGUGGAUUUUAAAUUUGAAACGUUUUGUUUAAACUAAAAUCUAAAUGUUCGUACUGUCAUACGAAUCUUUUGUUUAAACCAAAUAUUUUGUCAAAAGCUAAAAACUAAAAAAUCUCAAAUCAAAUGCUAACAAACACUCAUUUCCAAACACAAUUAUAUGCAAAUCAAAUAUUUAAUGCAUGAAAGGUCGCAAAAUUGAUUUGAUAUACAUUUUGAUAAAAUUUGUUGACUUUUCAUUUAGUAUCCAAAUUUUUUCUGGUGGUGCAAAAUUCAACAUUGAAAUUAAAAAACAACAAUGGUUGGUUUGAAAAUAACUAUAAACUUAGGUUGAAAAUCAAUAUUAUAUAGUAUUUGAAUUUUUAUCAAGUUAUUCAAGCUCGAACGGAUUUUAAAAACAAAAAAAAGAGCUUAAAGCAUAUAAAAUCGAGUUUAAGGUUACAAAGUUUAUACUCAAUUAAUUACAUAGCUUUAUGUGUACCAAAGAACUUCUAGACUAACGGUAUUACGUGUUGUCUUCCCUUUUUGAGAUCAAUGGUUUUAGUCCCGUCUUAGACAUAGAUGGUUAUAGGUGUAGUUUAAAAUUUUGAUUAUAAUUACCUUUUAAAAAACAUAGUUUUAUGUGUAUUAAUUUUGGGUGGAACUCGAAUUAAACGCAUAUUUCUAAUAUACUCCAUCCACUCUAUUCAAGUUUUUAAGCCCCUUUUGUUUAACAAAUAUAGUUUUGAAAAUCCAAAUAUUUGAGUUGAACACAAGAGCUUGUAUCGUCUACUUUAUCAAUUUCAUCAAUUUUAUCAAGAUUAGCCAAGCUCAAAACUAUCAUUUUCAAUUUUUCAUCACUUUAUUGAAUCAGUUUCAAAAAAUAAUGCCACUAGAUCAUGUAGCCUUACCUUCUUUACAUCACUAUUCAAAACCCAUCAAAACAUUACAAUUUAAAGCAAUAUAAAGAUUAGUAUUAGACUUUUAUAGAAUAAAGUAUGUAUCAUCUUUUCAAAUAUUAUGAAAUCAAGUUCUUAAAUUAAAGAUAUAAUCACUUUGUUAAAUUUAGAAUGGAUUUUUUUUGCUUUUUACAACUAGGUACAUACAAUUAGAUAACAAAUUGUACCGCUAAACCUUUAUAUAUCAUAAUUUUAAAAAAAAACCCAUAUAGAUUUUAUAUUUUUGUAUGUUUUGGAAUUCAAAUUUAGUUUGGAUUCUUUACUCCACUUGCUUUGUCAAUGGAAAACUAUGUGUUAGGUUUUGGACAAUUAGUAAUAAGUUAAUAACUAUGAUACUUAAACAACCAUUUUUUAUUUAAAUUUCCCAUUAUUUGAAAUCAAUUUAUUCAAUGUCGUAUUAAAUAAAAUAAGUAUUACUCAAGUCCGGUUCCAAAAAAAGUAUUACUCACGUAAUGUUAAAAAUCUGAUAUUUUUAUUCUAAUUCCAAAAGGUUAAAACAACGUUUAUUUUAACUAUGAUAAUAAAACAAUUAGUAGUGAUUCACUGAUUUGUUGAUUUUUUUUUUACAUAUUUUUAUAUUGGGGAGUUGAAAGCGGAAGGUAUUUUGGAGGGUUGCAAAGCGGAAAAUCUGUUAUAAAUAUUUUUGGGUCCCACCAACUACUGUACCCACAUGCAAAUGCAACUACUUAACGACCAUUUGCCGCAAUCUUUAUCUUCAUUUUCUAAUUGUUGUCUUUUAGUUAAUUGUAUUUUUUUUUACUAUUAUAUUUUAUUAUUUGUGAUGAAUUAAUAAAUUUAAAAUACAUUUUAUUGAUGACUAGUUUGAUUGAUAAAACAGAAAAAAUGAUGCGUGGAAAUUGAAUAUAAUGUACUAAAAUAUUUACGUCUUGUAACUCCCCUAAUUAGAAGAAUUAGUAUAUUGCUUAAAAAAUACAUAUAUUUUUUCAUAAUUCAACAAAAUAAAUAAAUAUAUAAAUAUUGACCCAAAUUCAUCUUGAUACUUCCAAUCCACCUACUCAGCACAUUACUGUAUUUAUAACUGAAUUUCAUAUUUACAAAACACAUGGUUUUUGUUUAUAUUUUAAUAGAUUUAAGUUUUAUAAAAGUUAUCAAUUACUUUAGUUACAUAUAUUCAUAUUUUCUAAUUUCUUUUUAACUAUUAUAGUAUCGUAUCCAAAGUAUGAAAUAAAAUUGUUAUAAGGGUAAGGUAUUGAAAUCAAUCAUAGAAAAAUGCACAUACUUCGUUAAUAUAAGUCUUGAGCCCACAAACACCAGAUUUAAAUAUUCAAUUAGACAUUGAUCAAAGUCAGAUACCAAUUAUAUCGUUAUUUUAAUUUUUUCAACAGAAUAUUUCAAUAUAAAUUUUAUUUCUGAAAGUCUACUAUUAAGAAAGUGCAAAUAAAUCUUCUACGUUUUAAAAUUAUAUCAGGUGCCGGCCAAAAAAGUAAACAGAUUAUAUGAAACAAAACCGACUUUUAUGUUGUUAAUUUUAAAUUGUUUGGAAUUUUUUUAUGACAAUUCAAUUUUUCAUUUUGGAUAACAUUUUUUAUGAAAAUUCAUUUUUUUUUGCACAGCAAUAAUAUAACAAAUUCUUAAUAUAGCGUCGUGUUAAUUUUUUAUUCUCCUCUCUUUUAGAAUCAUUUUCAUUGCUUCGUUAUUUUGUCUUCAAACGGACGUGGGAUAUGAGAUCUUAGAAAAAUACAAAUCUAAUAAAUAUUCUAUCCCAUGUCAAUCAUGAAUAAAAUAUAUUUUCCAUCUCUUCCAUAUGAAUUUUUUUUGAACGGUGAAAAUUUUAUUAGAGACUGACAAGAAGCUAAGAAAAACACAUUACAACAAAAUAGUAGGAGAUGACUAUGUAACCAAGAAGUCCAAUAUAUUUUUACUUUGAUACACAUAUUAGAAAUCCCAAAAAAAAAACCUUAUAAACGAUAUCAUAAAAAAUGUUUGUUUUAUAAAUGAAAUAAUAAUUAAUUUAUAAACUUUAAUGACUGAGUAGUUGUUGUUAAAGCACAUCCCAAUCAAUUUCGAUCGAAUUUAAGAUAUAAAGAAUCGUUGCAGAAGGUUUAAGACUGCCCUAUAACUUCGUAAUCAUUUCAAGAGAUUCCAUAGAAGUUUGUUAGGUACUCUUUGGUGCUCACCUCUAGGAAGCAUGAGAGUGAUAGUAUAAAAAUAAAGGGACAAUGACUUGAAAUGGUAACUUAUUUUAGUUUUUGGUCACAAUUGGUCACUAAAUAAUUUCCAUGCUUUAUUAAUCCUCAAACUUGUUGAAACAUAUACAUUAUACAAGUAUGACGGUAAUAAUGGGUAUUGUCGGUUUUCGGUGUUGUUUCUGACCAAACAUGAGUUUUCCAGUCAUUUUCUCCGGUCAAACUCGAUUUUUCGGCGUUAUUUCCGACGACAUCUUUGUGAAUACCCAAAAUGGUCAAGAACUCUGGUCUAUUCUCUCAUUCUCUUUUCUCAUGAAGUCAUUAACUCCAAAACAUACAUCAGAUUUGUGAUUUGUGAUGAACACGCACAUACAUACACAUCAGAUCACUGUUCAUCGUCUUUGACCUCCGGUUAUGGUGUUCUUAAGAAAAUAUGAAACAAUUUCUUGAGCAAAACUUCGGUUUUUUGAAGAAUAAAACCCGAGACCUUAAAAAACAUCCUCAAGCAAAUCAUCCAUGACAGAUCUAGAAAGAAACGAAAUCAUACACAUGUAGAUAUGGGUUCAUGUUCAAGAAACAUUCUUUUGGGUUUCAUUUUGAUUAUGACAGAUUUUAUUUCGAUUUAUAAACCCAAUAACUCAAAUCUAAAAACACACACACACAUAUGAAUUCGAAUCUGAAAUGGAGUUCAUAAACGAAAUCUAACUUUAGGAUUUUUGGGUUUUUGAUGUACGAACUUGAUAUGGUUUUCAUGUUUCAGAUUAAAAACACAUACUGAAACUCAUUUUAAAAUCAAAGUGUGUUCCUUCUCGAAAAUGGAUUUCAGAUAUGGGUUUCUUUAAAAAAAAACGAUGAGUUUCUUCCUUCUAGAAAAUGGAUUUCAGAUUAACUAUGGAUGUGUUCUUCAAAACUUGAUUUAUGAUUUUAUCUAGAUUGACUCUGAAACUCAUUUUCUGGUUUGAAUUGGUUGAGUGAUUUAUGAGUUGAAGAAUUUUUGGGUCGAAAGGAUGAACAUGAUUUCUAAGUUCAAGAGAUUGAUGAGCAAAAACACCACGGAUCUAGAACAAAAUCGCAUUUUAAGGAUAUAACGUCGGAAAAUAGAGUUUAAUAGGAGAAGAUAACCAGAAAACUCAUGUUUGGCCAGAAACAAUGACGGAAACUGGAAAAACCCACUAUUACCGGACAUACCGGUAUAAUGUACAUAUUUCUACAAGUUCAAGGGUUAAUAAAGCACGAAAAAUAAUUUAGUGCAGGAUAUACCGGUAUAAUGUACACAUUUCUAUAAGUUUAAGGGUUAAUAAAGCACGGAAAAUAAUUUAGUGACCAAAAGCUAAAGUAUGUUGCCUUCUCAAGUCAUUAUCCCAAAAAUGAAACGUAUGUGUGUGUGUGUGACACCCCCAAACAAAAACGACGUAUCGAGGUGGAUGACUUCAUGUAUAAUAUCAUAACAAAUGAAUAGUAGCGAUCAAAACCAUACAACCACUAUAUUGAUAAUUAAGAUGUUUACAUUGUACACAAAACAUUGUUUACUUGUUGUAAAAUACAUAUGCCAAAAGUAAAUAAAGUGACGCGACGGCGUCCCAUUCCUCAAAAUCCUUUUGGUUACCUAUUUACUAAUUUCCUGAGAAUACAAGUGAUUUUGAAAAGUGUCAACAAUUAAGUUGGUGAGUUCAUAAGAUGUUUUGUAUGAGAGAAAUUGGUAACUUUUUCGUGUAAAAAGGAUAGUGUAUACUUUCAGAAAAUCCAAUAUUUUCCUUAAAAAUGAGAUGUAAGUCUUGAAUCCAAAGAAUAAAAAUGUAAGUAAUGUUGUACUGAGAAAUAUUAUGUAGUUUUAUCUUUUUAUAAAACUAUUUGAAUAUGUUAACCCUGUAAACCAAAUUAUUGUUAAUAUCCCAUGUGAGUUAUCAUAACCAUGCUAAUGACUAGUUGGCCUACUACGACGUUCUUCAGGCGUCGGAAUGUUAGACAUUUGUCACCCCAGACCUGCCGAUCUAACUGUAGCUAACAGUUUAGGUGCGGUAUUGUCAGUCCCGUAUAGAUUUAUACACAAGUGUCAUGCUCUCCCUACAAGAGACUCUGGUUAUAAUACAAAACUUAGUGUGUACUCUGGUAGGUACGGUGAAGCCAAAUGUCUCACAAAAUUGUAUUAACCGGUAUACGUAUAGACAUAUAGUGUACUGAAAACCCCUUUUUCUUGUAAAUGAAUGCAUUACUCUUCUAUAGUGGUUACAUAGUGUAAAAAUAAUUAUACCUUUAAAUAAUUAUAUGUUUAUUCCGUAAUGAUAGUGUAGUGGUUGUGACUCCCAAACUAUACCAAUUAUAGUUUAUUAUGUUUGUUUGUUAAGACUAUUUAUAUAAUCAUUUAUAUAAAAACAUAGUAGUUAGCAUGUCUAGAUGUUUUUAAAUGAAUAUGUCAUAAAACUUACAUCUAACACAAGUAUGAGAAAUUUACAUGAAAAGUCCAUCUCGGGCUUUUGCCCCGUUUUGUAAUGAUGUUUUUGUCAAGUUUCAAAAUGUAUGAUCAAAACAUCAUAUUUUUUUGGUUGUAUCCCACAAAAUGGUAAAAUAACUAGAAUGUAACCUUUUUUUGUUAGAAAAACUAUAUGUUGGUAAAAAGUCUCAAAAUUCUUGUAGUUUUGUAAUCAUAACUUUUCUUAUGAUUAUAUAACAUAGUUUAUGUUUUAUUUUUGUUGGUUUUGCAUCUCAAAACCAAUAUAUCACAAAUAAUUGUCUACAAACUAGUGAUAACCAUAUUUCAUGCAAAUAAUGUUUUAUAUUUAACAUAGAGAUGAAACAUGCAAGUAUUUGUGUGAUAAACCAAAAUUUACUUGUAUCCCCCCCCCCCUUAAAACAUGAAAAACUCGAAAAUGUGGGGGUAUGAACUCACCUUGAGUGUGGUUGUGGUUGGAUAUAGAGAUUAUUGUGAAGAUCUCCAAGCCUAGAACACUUGAAAGUGGUUGAUGAAUUCUUUGAAGAUGAUAGUAUCCUAAGAGUUUUAAAACAUGAUAAUGUGUAUAAAUAAGAUGAAACUAGUGUAAAAGUGUGUAGAAACACUAGAUUAUGAAGAAACACUUACCAAAAUAUCAAGAAUCACUUGAAAUGGUUUAGCUUAUUGAGGAGAAGUUUUGUUCUUGAGAGAAUAUGGAGUAAUCAGAAAGAAAUAUGGAGAUGGUGGGGGUUUUGGGGAUGAUCUCGGCCAAAGAUAAGGAGGGAAGGGUGAUGAUAUAUUUGUUUUGUUAUUUGUUGGGUAAUUGCAUUGAUACACGUUGGGUAAUAUUAUGUAUUGGAAAAGAUGAAACUUCAAUUCACAAAGUCAACCCUUUCUUUUCUCUUUCUUUCCCACCGAAAUCCAUCAUAGGGCCAUCGAAAUCACAUGUGAUUUCGGCCUAACACCACCGAGAUCACCUAGUGAUUUCGGUCCAUGCACCAACCGUGAUCACCUGUGAUUUCGGUCCAUGCACCAACCGAAAUCACAUGGUGAUCUCGGUGUAGGUACCAACCAAAAGCACAUGCUCGUUUAACUUCCAGUNNNNNNNNNNNNNNNNNNNNNNNNNNNNNNNNNNNNNNNNNNNNNNACAGACACACAUAAAAAAUUAAUAUCGUUAUAAUCUCAAAUAGAUUCCCUAAACAAAAUAUAUGGAAAACUGCAAUAAAGUCCUUAUAUAUUGGACUUAUAAUCGAUUUUGUCCUUAUAUAUAUUUUUUUAUUCAAUUAAGUCCUAAAAACCGGUAAUUCUAUUCAAUUUAACCCUUUUACUUGGUCAACAAGUCAUCCAACUUUCAAAAGUUACAUUUUGGCCCAUAUUUUAAAUUUAUUACAAAUUUGGCCCAAAAUUUACACAUUUUGGCCUAGAUUUUAAAUUUUAUUACAAAUUUGGUCCAAAUUUUAUCCUUUUGGCCCGACUUUUAGAAUUUUGUUAUCAAUUCAUCAUAACUUUAGUUGUUUUCACUACUUUUUUUUUCUCAAAAUUUUGUUUUCGAAUAAAUUUUUUCUUUAUAAAAUCAUAUUUAUACAAAAAAACAUUUUUUUACAUAAAAAAAUCUUAUAUUUUGUAUAUAAAAACUUUUUUUUUAAAAAACAAUUUGUAUACGAAAUACCUAUUUAUAAAAAUAGGUAUUUAUUGUGUUCAUAAAUAUAUAAAAAAUGUAUACAUACAUGUAUUUUACAAAAAAAAUGUAUACAAACACCUAUUUUAUUAUAAAUACAUUUGUAUGCAAAUACAUAUUUAUAAAAAAUAUAUACAAGCAUGUAUUUCAUAGUAAAUGUAUAUAUUUUCUUUGUAAAAACAUAUUUAUAUGCACCCAAAUAAGUGUUUCUAUACAUUUCUUUUGUAAAAACAUAUUUCUGUCUAAAUUUUUUUAUAAACACCUAUUUUAUAAUCAAUGUGUUUGUAUUUAGACAUGUUUAUAUAUAAAAUGUAUACAAGCACGUAUUAUAUAAAAAAUUAUUCAAGCACGUUUUUAAAACAGAAAUGUAUACAAACACAAUAACUUUCCUUCCUCAUAAUGACCCACAACCAUCACAAAACACCAACUUCAACUAGUCAUCUUCCCUUGCACCAACAUCGCUCACUGCUUUUUUCUUUCUUAUGAAAUACCUAGCAACCAACAUUACCCAUCUUUGACCACCAAUCACUACGUUACUGCGCACCAACAUUACCCAUCCCUGUGGUUAAGCAGAUUGUGGUAUUGGCUGGUGGUUUGGUGAUGUUCUCAAACUUCCAUGUUGGCUGUGAUGAAGCUAAUGAGCGAAAAGGAUUGUGAUGCAGAUGUUUGGGUUAGAGUGACGAUGGUGGCUUAAUGUAUUAAGAUUGAGAUAGUGUGUUACAUGACUGUGAAGGGAUUUAUCUAAUUAUAGGAUUUUAAAUUAAUAAUAUUUAAUUGAUUUAAGUUGUCUGAAUUGGUGGAAAGUUUUAAAGAGAAGUAAAUGAUUAUUAUGUUAAUUUACCUACAUAUCUGAUGGGAUUCGAGCAAUACAUCAUUCCUAUGGUGUACAUGCAAACCCUAAUAGCAUUUGGAUCUAGUCUGUCUAAUGAACAUGCAAUUGAAUAUCCAAAGCUAUAAACCCUAGAUCUAUCAUAUAAGAACUGAAAUAAGGGUUUAGUAAUUACCUUUGAUUGUUAUAUAGCAAUAACAAUCAAUUCCUUGGCUUUAGAAAGCUUAGUGCCUCAAGUGUUGCACCUCUAAUGGAGUCACAAACACCACUAAGCAACUAGAUGAAGAAGAGAUAAGGAGAGGAACUCAAAAACAUCUGGAAACCCUAAUCCAAGUGUUGGCCACGUUUUUGGUGCCUAAGGGUUCCUUAUAUACUUAGGCUAUUAGGGUUUUGCACUUAGGAAACUCUAAUCUGACUGCUUAGGCCCUAAGCAGCCCAUGGACUCCUUUAAUGAUAUCCCUUGGCCGAAUUCCUUAUGGGCUUCCCAUAGAAUUCGUCUAACCUAUAUUAUUAGGUAAUCUGUAGCCCAAUUGCAAUUAUCUUAUAAUUACAAAUCCAGUCCCCUAAGUUUAAUUAAUCUCUUUUAGCCACAAAAUUAAUUCUUUAUUAAUUAUUGACUAAUAUUAAUUAAACAAUAUGAUUUCUCCUUUAAUAUAUUAUUCUCAUAAUAUAUUAAUUAAUCGUAAUUAAUCCUUUCUCUCCUUAAUUCAUCCUACAUAUUUCUAUGGUGAAGGCAACCCAAAAGGACCAUGCUCAUAAUCGGGUCAAGUACAUACCAAAAUAGUUAUGGACUUAGACACUAAUCUAAUAGUCUCCCACUUGGAUAAGUCUAAUAACUAUUUUCCGUAUGACUUCAAAACCUGAUCAGCAAUCGUAGCUUUCAAAAGCCGCUGUCAACUCUGAUCUUAUCAGAUACGCGUGUCCUUUAGAUAAGGGAUCAUAUAUUCCUCGAUUCUCAAGAUAUCGUAUAGACACAAGACGUGAAUUUGAAUCAUUCUCUCUAUACUGUUUCCCGACUUCCGAUUUAUGACGACUGACAACAGACUACAAUUGAACACAUCAACCCAGUCCUGGCUUGGCCAAGCGCUUAGGUUUCAUCAUUAAAUAAUCGAAGGGCCCAUAGAUAUCGCUUUUAUCCCACAUAACCUUCGACUCAAAUGCUCGCUUGCAUUUACUAAUCGAAUCACACACAACAAUAAGUUUUAUAACACCAAGUUACUGGUGUGUUUACUUAUUAUCAAUGUGCAACCGACCAACAAAUAACAACUCGCACGUAUCGGUUUCAAGAAUAUACAAUANUAUUAUCGACUCACAAUCACUCUCGAUAUAAUCAAUGAAGUGAUUCACGUGAGCGUGGGUUUAAUCCAAUACUCUAAUCUUAUCAAAACACUCAUGAACUCUGCAACAGACUUGUGCUAUGUCUAAACUCUUCAGACAAUCUAUAGACUCUUCAUGACAGUCUUCCUUCAUACCUACUUCCAGCGUAUGACCGACUGUGGAGGUUCGAAUAACCCAGAUAUUCUAGAAGUCAAAACAUGCAAAGUGAAACACAAUGAUAAUAUUUAAUCCUAUAUGGCCCCCAAAACUUUUGAGUGUAAACAAAACAACUUUAUUUAAACACCAUUUGAUUACUCAUUAUUCAUUGUUUUCUGUUUCAGAAAAUCAACUUAUAACUCAAAUUACAACAAUAGUUGUCCCAUGCCCCAAGCAUGCACACUAUGUUUCCUAUGGUCCUUACUUUGUGAAAUAGAUCAACUGAAAAACUUUUCCAAUGAUACUCAUUUCAUAAUUCCCAAUCCUUAUAAUUAGUGUAAGAAUACAAGGUUCUUGCCACUAUUAGAAUAUGCUAGAUUCUAACAUUUUAUGCAACGAUCCUUUCGCAAAGUCAUAGCACAAAAGUCACCAAGACUUGGCCAAUGAAAUUACAAAGUACUCUAUCAGAAAUUGUUACAAGACAAUUCCAUAGACGUGAAGUCUCACAUUCAAAGUACAUUCCUUUGAACAUCCUUCUUGCAUAAAAGUUUCUAAUCUAGACAUAGACUCUCAAUAUCCAACUCCCAAUAUGGAAACAUUUCCAUAUUUGCCAUAUGACAACUCAUUCUUAAUAGAAUCUUAUCUAUUCAUAAUAAUGUCGAUAUGGUCCAUCCAAUACCAUACUUCCAACUACUCACAAGCGACCAAUCCUCAUCGAACUUUGGAUCGUCCUUUGAUAGUUGUAUAAUUAUUUAAUUCAAAACCGAUUCUAGUCCUUUUUCCCUCUUAAUGCGCUAGACAUUUGGAAAAUUUUAGAAUGGUCAAAUAUUAUAUCAUUUGCAAUCGAUCCUAUACCCGAAGUGUAUGGGACACGAUGCAUAAUGUCUUACAUAAAUAUAUGAUACUUUAUCAAUCUUUUUCCAUAAUAUUUUAUGUUUCAUGUUCUUACAAUUCGAACUAUGAAGAGGGAUGCCGUAAUCAUAAUCGAAAUUUAAGAACACACUAUGUAUCCUUUGACUAAAUUUAUUAAAAUUUCUCAAUCUAAGCUUUAGAUUUUGAAACUAAGUAUAAUAUUCUCUCCCUUAAUUAUAGUAAAACAAAUUUUAACCUUUGUGACUUUGCAAAGUAUAACUCUUGUCUUCUAUAAUUAAUAUUGCUAUCUUGCAAUACUUACCUUAAUAAUCAUACAAGCAUAACGUUUAUGAUCCCACUAUCAUGAUGAUUAUUAUCAUAUAAGCAUAACACUUAUGCUCCCACUAGCUUUGACAUGUAUUCAGAAAACAACUGAACUUCCAGAAAACAAUACCUAUUGAAUUUCUGUAGUUCAUAUUUCUAAUACCAGAUGCUUCGAUAAGCCUUUAUCUAAGCUUCUUAAACUCAUACACCUUUGCCUUAGAAAGCUCACAUGUGUGUCUAAACAAAUUCAGAACUUAUAUCAAUAAGUCCCAAAUGUUAGACUAAUUGCCAAAUCUCACAAUUCGAACUUUGGAAAGGGAUGCCGUAACCAUAAUCGAAUUUGAGAAUACAACUUUCACAAUCGCCAUCUUCUUAAAAUCUCUCUUAGUGAAAGCAUUUCCUCACAGUCAUUUUCAUGAAGGAGGGAAUCUUAUGACACUUAGAUUUUUAUGGUGUAUGUGUUCCUAUCCAUGUGAAUUUGCUAAAACCAAGUUUGCGACAAAUCCAAACUCGUAUGGACUGAACUUUCUUAAUCUUGAUUUAUUGCCUUAUGGUGACAUGAGUUCCCACCAUGUCUUCCAAGUAGUUUAGAAACCUAUCCUUACAUAUCAAUGUACUUUCCAUUGAUCAAGGUACUUUGUCUUAAUGCAUUCAAAUGAGAACUCAUAGAACUCACAUACAUAAUUAACUCAAUUGGAAUGGCACAUAAACAAAAUAAUGUCAACAUGAUAGGCUGUAAACCUCAAGUCGUGUGCUAGUGAUGAUUGAUAAGGUUUAUUCUUGAAACCUUUUUCAAGAUCAUUAAAACUCCCACUAACCUCUUGACAUAUAUGAUUCUCUUGUCAGGAAACUUUCCUAGACAAAACAAAUAUUCAAGAGUUAGUGUAGUUAUUAUCAAGAAAAAACACUUCACAAAUUAGUCCUAGUUGGUCUUUGUCUUAUCCAAGACAUCACAACUUACCAAUUUCAAAUGUGCAAGAAUAAGAAAACUUUUCCAAAUUCCACAUUUGAUGAGUGUUAUAAACCUACUUAAGACUUUUCACUCAAUUCGCAAUCUUGGAGUAUGACUCUAAGAUUCGAUAUUGGAACGAAGUAUAAUUGACUUCUUGAUUUAACCAUUUCCACAAUUCCCGAUUCCUCUUCUUAGACAUACAAAUGUACUAAGACUCACUUAAAGGACCAAUUGAGAUAUGGUUCUUAAUCAUUAAGACUUUAUCAUAAAACACAAUAAAAGGUACUCUCCCUUCUUCUUAGAAGAGAGAAACUUUUAUCUUUCUGCCUUCUUGAUUCUUCUUAUUCGUUCUGCCAUUCAUUGAAACCUUUUCAGUUAACUCAGAAUUGCACUUAAUCUUAUAAGUAUAAUCAUAUUUACUAAACUUUAGUAAAUCAUGAUGAAUAUCUUUAUCACUCUUGUGGUGGACUUGAUUGAUGCACAACAUUGAAAACUCGAUCUCCUAGUCCAUCACUUGACUCUUUGUCAAUGAAUUAGUCUUGAAUUUCCAAAUAUGAAAGUUUUCAUUCAUCACGCAACCAAGUUGUAUGAUUCCAAGUUUCUGUCCAAUUGAAACUUGGUCGAUGAGAAACUCUCCAUAUUUGGUAAAUUCUUGACAUCUCCACAAAUAGCAUAAUUAUGAAUCAAAUCCAUUAUUGCUAAUAAUAGAAACCUUCAAACAUCAAUUUUUCAUACAUGCAAUUGCAAGGAUAAAUAAAUAAGAUAAAAUCAAAAUUUAUUUUAUUGCGGAAAAAUUUGUCCUUACAAUGCAAUUCAAUUGAAAAAAUAUGUUAUUAAAUAUUUCUUAGCAAUAUAUUCUAACUUCAAGUUGUAGCUCAAGAAUCUAAUCUUCAAGCAAUGCGAUCGAAAUCCAUUUCUUCACGAUUAGAUUCAGCUCACUUCUUCCCUUAAUCUUCCUCUCUUUUCUUCGAUCCUAGAAAACAUCAAAAUGUAAUCUUAUCACAUCAUGUAUUAAGAAUCUAGAAUAGGAACUUAAAAGAGUUAGUUAAUGGAUUUUAACUGAAGUAGAGCCAUACGUCUUGACUCUCCCAUAUGUUAGAUCUCUUAGGUAGUUUGGGCAGCUUCGUCUCCAAUGACACUUCUCUUGGCAAUAAAAGCAAAUGAACUCCUUUGGUACAACACAUGGGACGAUCUCAUACUUAGUCCUUUCUGGAUUUCCAAUGUUGCCAGUGUCCAUUGAAGUUUGGGAGUUUGAUUCACCAGACAAAUUUUCUUGACCAUCAUGCCAAAUCAUUGCUGAUUCAGAAGCUAUAAGCAAAUAGGUGAGAUCAAUGAGGGGCACGUCAUGAUCCAUCAUAUAAUACUCUCUAAUGAACCCAAUAUAUGAUUCAGGAAGUCAUUGAAGAACCCAGUCAAAAGGCAACUCCUUGGGGAUGACAACACCCAGCAUACCCAACCUGUCAAUGUGCGACUUCAUCUCUAAGACGUGUGCACACACAGACUUUCCAUCUUCGUGUUUACUUGCCAAAAGGGCUUGAGUGAGCUUGAAAUUUUCAAGCCUUCGAACUUGUGGGUUAGGGAGAACAAUUGGAGGAGGUGGAGGAAGUGAAGCAUGAUUUCUUGUUCCUCGAUCAUAUCGUGGAACAUCAUUUUCAUUUGGAAAGCUUGUUCCAUGGGAUUUGGGAUGACCAUGAUUGUCAGAACUAGACAUCUACAUAACGGGAGAAAAUUCAAGUUAAGUUGAUUAGAAUCCUUCAUGUAACACACAAAUGAAACAUCAAGGCUAGGAUCCAACACAAUACUCUACAACCUAGAAGAGGGAUGCUGUAAUCUAGUAGCAGAAUAUUUGAAGGUAUGUAAAUGACGAUUUACCAAUUUCCACCAUGAAAAACGAAAAAUAAAUUUAAGUUUUAAAUGAAUUGAAACUCCUAGAUCUUUUGAGAUUCAUUGAACUUCUCAAUGACAUGUUUAAUCUCGAUUAUGCCCUUCAAUUUGUGACUGGGAUGCCGAGGAUGACAAAUAAGGUGUGAAUAACCAUACGAAUCAUGUGGUGCACCCAAUGCUACUAUCACCUAAUCAAUGUGCCGGCUAGCCACACACGCUCCAUUGAUCUAUGAUAAGCAUCGAGCCAUCCUUCGUAGCCAAUGUCAUCCCCAAAUUAGUAUUCCGGUUAACCACAAACGCUCCACUAACGUUUGACAAAGGUACGAAGUGUAAUUCCAUGGAUUAGCAUACAAUUUCACAUUUUUCCUAAAGUAACUAUGAUUUGGGAAUUUGUAAAAGCAUGUAGUUACUUUGUACUUCAUUAUACUUAUAAUGGAAGGUUUCUGUCCUAUCCUACCCGUUCGGCUAACGACCCUCCACUAGUCAAGAGUGCGGUGGGUAAGAGUGGAUACCCAUUCAAUCGCCAUUUUAUAGGCAAUUUCCUUAAACACCCCUUAUAGACCAGCUUCGUGAAUGAGGCCUACUAACGGUAAGACUGACUGUUUACUCAUACAUAUAUAAUAUUAGACUUUUAAUGUUAUAUAUAGUAUAGGGUGUAUUUUACACUUUUAAAAUACUAGGUGGUUUAAUUUAGUAAAUUAUACUUUUAAUUUAAUUAAAUGUAAACCAAAACUUUAUGGGGUUAUUAAAUCUCUUUUAAUUAUACACUUUAAUUAAUUAAUAAAACCGUAAGGGUGUGAUUUGAACUUUUCAAAUUACUAGGGUUUUAGAAUUUAAAAUUUAAAAUUAAGACUUUUAAUUAAUUUUAAAAUCCAAAACCUGAGGGCAAGUUUUGAAACUUUUCAAAACAUUAGGGUUUAACUUAUUUAAAUUUCAAAAACAAAACCUUUAAAUUCAAAUUUAAACUAUAAAACCUAAAGGGAGUAAUUUGAAACUUUUUCAAACUUUAUCAAGAACAUUCUAGAUCAAAAAUUCAAAUAAGGCAAUUAACAAGUAAUUGGUGGUUAUCUAAUUUUGACCUAGUCCAAUUUCUUGCAAGAUAAUUCAUCAAAUAAUUCAAAUAAUUAAAUUUAAUCAUAUAAGGAAGUAAUUAUUCAAUUAAAAUGAAGAUAUCUUUUAUUUUGUCAAGGAUAAUCACCCAAUAUCAUAAAAAUCCGAUUUUUAUCAAUCAAAAACCUUUUGGUAAUUAUCUCACAACACAAAAGGUAAGAAAAUCACGAAAUAUAGCUGUCAGACUCGCUGACUCGUCGAGUACCCAGUAGACUCGGCGAGUUCAGUCAUGGACUCGGCGAGUCCAGCUCCAAAAAGUCAAAAAUUUCGAUUUUUCAUUCAAAUAAGCAUCAAGUUCACCAACAAACAGGCCAAGGCUCUGAUACCAGUGAUGGGAUUCGAGCAAUACUUCAUUCCUAUGGUGUACAUGAAAACCCUAAUUGCAUUUGAAUCUAGUCUGUUUAAUGAACAUGCAAUUGAAUAUCCAAAGCUAUAAACCCUAGAUCUAUCAUAUAAGAACUGAAAUAAGGGUUUAGUAAUUACCUUUGAUUGUUAUAUAGCAAUAAAAAUCAAUUCCUUGGCUUUAGAAAGCUUAAUGCCUUAAGUGUUGCACCUCUAAUGGAGUCACAAACACCACUAAGCAACUAGAUGAAGAAGAGAAGAGGAGAGGCACUCAAAAAUGUCUAGAAACCCUAAUCUAAGUGUUGGCCACAUUUUUGGUGCCUAAGGGUUCCUUAUAUACUUAGGCUAUUAGGGUUUUGCACUUAGGAAACCCUAAUCUGACUGCUUAGGUCCUAAGCAGCCCAUGGACUCCUUUAAUGAUAUCCCUUGGAUGAAUUCCUUAUGAGCUUCCCAUAGAAUUCGUCCAACCUAUAUUAUUAGGUAAUCCAUAGCCCAAUUGCAAUUAUCUUAUAAUUACAAAUCCAGUCCCUUAAGUUUAAUUAAUCUCUUUUAGCCACAAAAUCAAUUCUUUAUUAAUUCUUGACUAAUAUUAAUUAAACAAUAUGAUUUCUCCUUUAAUAUAUUAUUCUCAUAAUAUAUUAAUAAAUCAUAAUAAUCCUUUCUCUCCUUAAUUCAUCCUACAAUAACACAAUACUUGUUGGUAGGGUGAGCAAAACCGAACUCGGAAACCGAAAAACCGAAACCGAAGCAUAAACCGACGGUUUGGGUUUAGAAUUUUCAAAAACCGAAAUUUUCGGUUUGGGUUCGGUAAAACCGAAAGAAAUCGAACCAAACCGAAUUUCAUAUAUUAUAUGUAUUCUGUAAGUUAUAAAUGUAUAUAUACGUAGUCCUUAGGUUAUAAACACAAGCAGAAGCGUUGCUCUAGUGGUUAGCGCGUUGCGCGAUUGUAGGAAACGACGCAGGUUCGAAACUUCCUGGCGUCCUUUUUUCUCGAUUUAUUUUGUAAACGAGUUAACUACAUCCCACAUCGCCCCAUUACUGAAACUCAGCCAUUAUUCUCUUCUAUAUAACUUCGCCACCCUCUUUCAUUCUAUUAUCCCUAACCUUGAUUGACUCCCACAUCGCUUAGGAUAUCUAAAUAUCACAUAUCCUCACCAUUGUAUAGUUGAUGAGUUGAGAUAGGAUUAAGAAAUAAGUUUGAGGUUUGGUUUGAAUUAUAAAACCAAAACCGAACCGUGAAACCGAAGUUUAAAACCGAAAACUGAUAAACCAAACCCAUUGGUUUGGGUUUCGGUUUGGGUUCAAAUUUUCAUAAACCGAUCAUCAUCGGUUUGGGUUAGGUUUUAGGUCAAAACCCACCCAAACCGAUCCAUGCACAGCCCUACUUGUUGGUUAUAUAUAUAUAUAUANNNNNNNNNNNNNNNNNNNNNNNNNNNNNNNNNNNNNNNNNNNNNNNNNNNNNNNNNNNNUAUAUAUAUAUAUUAUUUCAUUUGAAUAAUAAAGAUUUUACAUUUAUUAAAUACUUAUUUUUAUAAAUAGCUAUUUCGUAUACACAAACGUUUUUUUUUUUUUUUUUAAGUUUUUAUAUAGAAAAUAGAAGAUUUUUUAUGUGAAAAUAUGCUUUUUGUAUAAAUAUGAUUUUAUAAAUUAAAAACAUUUACGAAUUUUUUUUUGAGAAAAACAAGUUGUAAAAAAACUAAAGUUAGGAUGAUUUCAUAACAAAAUUUUAAAAUUUGGGUCAAAAGGGUAAAUUUUGGACCAAAUUUGAAUAAAACUUAAAAUAUGAGCCAAAAUUCUAAAUUUUGGACCAAAUUUGUAACAAGUUUUGAAAUUUGGGCCAAAAAUGUAACUUUUGGAAAUUGGAUGACUUGUUGGUUGGGUAAAACGGUUAAAUUGAAUACGAUUACCGAUUUUUGGGACUGAAUUGAAUAAAAAAAUAUACAUAAGGACUAAAUCGAUUAUGAGGUCAAUUUGUAAGGUCUUUAUUGCAGUUUUUCUUUUACAAAUCAUAAAAUUAUUCAUAGAUUUCAUUAAAAUUAUGUGCAAAUAUUCUACCAAAUUUAAAUACGUAUAUGGAAAAUCAAGUAGAAAAAAUAACAUAGCGAUAUUUGAGGUAACAAUAGAUAAACCAAAGAAAAAAUUAUAAACAAAAUUAAAUUUAGAUAAACGAAGGAGAAAAAAUAUAAUUUCAACCAAAUAAUUAUAAAUGAGUUGGGUUAUUUAAAUCAAAAUUUAGGUAUUAUAAAUUUUACUAUAAAUAUAUGCUUUGUAUUAUUUAUAUAUUAUAAUAUAUACCGAGGUUGGAUCCAGGGUCAGGGACUGAGGUUUUCCUCAUCUACGUUUUUUUUAUUUUAGGAUUUCUCACCCUCGUCUCCAUCCCCGGUCAACUUGAGGAUUCUUCGGUCAAACCGGAUGUGGGUUUCAGGUUCCCCAUCGGGCAUGUUUUUUUUUCCAUCCCUAGACAUGGAUUGAAUCAUGGUAUUUAGUUCAAAAAAAUACAAUAAAAGUUAGUUCCUUAGUCUAUACCAUCAUUUCGAGGAUCGAUUCUUACAUUUAAAGACCUUUUGUUGUGGAUUCAUGACUAGUUCUGCAAUAUUCGAUGAACCACAUGACCGGUUCCAUGAAAUUUGGUUAGGUAUCUAUUGACGCUCAUGAAAAUCAUAUUAUAUCACGGAAAGAUAAAGGAUUUAUAAUGAAUGUCGAUUUGUUACAAUAUACUAUGAUUAAUAAGAAAUUAAUAACUUUAAUUUUAACUCAAACAAUCUAUACAGUUUGUCUUUAAUAUAUUAAGUUCGAAUCUUAUAUGCUUCAACUAUGGUGGGGUCUAACGAUCCAUAAAAACAAAACAUACAACAUGAGAAUAAUGGACAUAAGUGGUUUAGGGUUCGUAUCUUAUGUAUCUUAUGCAACAAAAGCCAAUGAAACCGAAAACAACACUAUAAGGAUUUGUAUCUUAUGCAAAAGUGGUUCGCGGAAUGGGUAAUGAUAGGGACAGGAAAAAUUGAUGAAAAUCCAAAUAAUAAGAUAACAAUUGAAAAGAAUGAUUUGAUAAACCUUGAUGAUUUUGCUUGUGUUACAAUGAGGGAAGUUGCAGAUUUGUUAUUAAUUGUAAAGCAAUACUUAAUAUGGGUUUGGAUCGAGUUCAAGACAAAUAGUAUGUGCUUAAAAUUCAAAAAACAUGAAAUGUUCCAAAUGAUGUUUAAGCAAUUUAGUGUGGUGGAUAAGAUAUUUACGACCAAGGAACGAAUUAUAUUGAAUGAGAUUGAUGGGAUCCCUUAAUGUGCAUUGUCAAAUAUUAAAUAUAAAAGUGUUGUUAGUGUUGGGUUAGUGUCUAAGUCUAUAACUAUAUUUGGUAAGUACUUGACCCGGUUGUGCAUGGGCCUUUUGGGCUGACUUCACCAAAGCAACAUGAUAGGAUGAUUUAUAAAUAAAGAGGUUUUUAUGAUUUAUUAAUAUAUUAUAUGAUUAAUUAAUUAAAGGAGAAGUCAUAUAGUUUAAUUAAUAUUAGACAAGAAUUAAUUAUGUGGCUAAAAGAGAUUAAUUAAAUAAAGGGGGCUGGAACUGUCAAUUGUUUGAUAGUUGGUUUUGGGCUAUGGAUCCUUAUGGAUUAAGGGUGAACGAAAUUAAGGUGUAUGGACUCCUUGAAUUCGUCCAAGCCUUAUUCUAGAAGGAUCCUUGGACUGCUCAAGGCCUAAGUUAUCCAAUUAGGGUUUCAAGCUGUAACCCUAGCAUCUCAAGUAUUUAAAGACCCCAAGGGCCAUAGAAAUCGUCUACCAGAAACCCUAAGGAGUUCCUAGAGCCGAUUUUGUACCCACAACCUCUCUCCAAAACAUCCUCUUGCUUCUUGGUGUUUGUAAGCCAUUAGAUGAGUGACAUUUGUGACUCUAAGCUCCUAGGAUAACAAGAUUCAAGCAUUCAAGAAGAGGUAAUCAUCUAGAUCUACUUUGUAGUGUCAAUUUUGAAUUGUAUACCAUAGAUCUAGGGUUUGCAAGUCUUGGAUGAAAAGCAUGUUCAUUAGAGAAACCUAGAUCCGAGCAUUAGGGUUUGCAUGUGCACAUAGGAAUGUUCUUAUGGCUCAAACCCAUCAGUUAGUGCAUGGUGUAACACGUUAUUUGGUGAUGAUGACAUAUAUGAUAAUGUUGGUACAGGUAGGGUUUGUGUUAAGACUAAUACACCCUUGAUCAUUUCUAAAGUGAAAAGGUGGAGAUUGAAGGUCUCUUAUAUGACGUAAGGAUGGUGGAGGUUUCGAUAUGCUUUCCUUCCAUUGAAAACGAUGAUUUACAUUUAGUAGAAGAUUGCAAGAAAAAAGAUACGAAAAUAAACACAAUGAGGACAAAGGUGGCAAGCAAGAGAGUGAAUAUGAUGACAGUGAGGUAAUUUUUAUUGAAUCACCUCCUAAAAACAAUUUUCAUAUGAAAUACAUGUUAAGCCUAAUGCAAACGAGACUCAAAAGAACGUUACCCUUAUGAUUUGCCUAACAUUAAGAGAUGUUCUAAACCAUAGUAGGCUCGUAUAGUUAAAAAGUUGAAGGAUGAGAUUUUUCUGGAAGUUGUCAAACAUCAAACAUGUUCGUAGGUACCAUCUGAUGAUUAUUUGUCGGUUUAAUAAAAAUCGCUUGAAGAGCAGCAACACAAGUUAUGGAGGUAGGGGCUUUCUGAUGAAUGUAGAACAAUAUGUCAGUUCAACUUCUCCCUCAAGACCAUCGAGUUUCGGUGAGUUUCAAUUUUGAAACUCGGUAUGUGAUUUUCCAAUAUUGAAAAGCAAUUAAGAAACAAAGGAUUCUCCUCAAUCCUUCUAAUAAACAUCGAAUUAUCAACGAAGAUGUAAUAAAAAAAUACUAUCUAUUUAACUUAAAUAAGAGAAAUGGUUUUUCUUUAAUUGGAGAUAUAAUUAGAUGUAUUGAAACAAAUAAAGCACUAAGUUAUGACAUAAAAGCUUGUAAAAAAAUUUAACCAUAAUGGGUGUGUUAUUUUCGAUAAACGAAUAUAUUAUCUUUGAACGUGUGUGGUAUUGGUACAAAGAAGAAGAGGGAUUUUGUUAGUAAAUUAUGUUAAAAUGUUAAGGUAAAUUUCUUGGGUAAUAAAGGAACUUUGUUAAUGAGAAUGGAUCUUCUAAAAGCCAUAAGUAUAUAGGGAAAUUGUCAUUUUGAUUUUUCAAUAAGUUUGGCUAAAGGGAGAUCUGGGGGUAUAAAUUUGAUUUGGGAUCCGACUAUCUUUGUGGUCAAGGGAAAAUGAUAAUAGUUUUUGUUUCAUGGUGAACGUUUAUGCUCCACAUGACAUUUGUGCUAAGCAAUCUCUUUGGUGUAAUAUCAUGCCCUUUAUGUAUAAUCAUUUUGGUCGUCAUAUUUUGUUUGGUAUUUUUAAUAUGGUUAUUAGUAUUGAUGAAAGGAGGGGAGUCGCGUGUUGCUCAAGAUCAGGUGAUCACUUUAAUAUAUUCAUUAUUGAUGUCAGGUAGAUAUUCCGACGGGUGGUUUUCGCUUGAGUAGAAUUAGUAAAAAUGAAGAAAUAUGCGUAAAAUGGAUCGUUUUCUAGUGUCUGAUCAGAGUAUUGAAGUUUUCCCAUAUAUCAGAGUCAUGAAUUUGGAAAGGCGUAUUUUUGACCAUCAUUCCAUUCUUCUUAUAAACAUAAAUUGGGAUUAUCAUCUUUCAUUGCUUAGGCUUUUUGACUCCUAGCUUGAUCUGGAAGGUUUUGAUGAGCAAAUUCAAAAAUCUUAAAUAAUAGGUCAUGUUCAAGGUAAUUUUAAUAAUUAUAUCUUUUUUAAAUACAAACUGAAAAUGUUAUAAGGGAAGAUUACAACUUGAAAAUAUAAUGACACAUGGAUAAAAAAUAAAAUAAAUAUAUGAUUAAAAAUAGGUUGUGGAAAAUUGAUAGAUUGGAUGAUGUUGAGUUCGGUUCCGCGACUAUCAUCGAGGAAAACCAUGUAUUGAUUAGGGGUAAUUGAACGGGUAUAGACUCUUGAUAUGGCUAAAAAUGCGAGUAUUAAAUGGGAUUUAGAAGGUGAUGAAAACUAUAAGUAAUAUCACCACAUUCUUAAGAAGAAAACCACACAAAUUAGUAUCAAAGUAUGAAAGUUGAUGGUGAUUGGACACUUCCUUAACAAUUGUAAAAUAUAAAUUUUCGUAAUUAUAAAAACAAAAAUUUCUGAUUUUUUAGGGUAGUAUGAUUAUCAACCCAAAAAUCGAUUUAGAAGGUUAGGGUUGGCUCAAGUUAUCAAUCUCAAAUUGCAACCAACCAUGUAGGAAGUAAGGUAGGUAGUGAUGGGUUUUAUACAAACAAUCCUAUGUGUGCAUGCUACCCUAGAGUUGGAUCUAUGUUUUCACUAUUAGUUAUACAACUUUAUGAACACAAAAAGAAACCUGGCAUGCUAGUACCAUUUUCGAAAUCCACAUAGAAGAAUAGAAUACAUAUCUUUUGUUGUUAUAUAGUAAUAAUAACUAGUUCCUUGAAUCUCCUUAGCUUUGAAAGCAAGUACCACAAGUGUAGUACCUCUAAUGGUUCACAAACACCAAGAGCAAGAGGAUGACUUAGGAAAAGAGGAGAAGCACCCAAAAACGUCUAGAAACCCUAAGGAAAAUCUUGGAAACGUUUUUGGUGCUCUAGGGGUCUUUAAAUAGAGAGGCUAUUAGGGUUAUCAAACAAGGAAACCCUAAUUUGACUGCUUAGGCCCUAAGCAGCCCAUGGACUCCAUUCUUAGAUGCCUUGGACGAUUUCUAAUGGGUUUCCCCAUGAAAUUCGUCCACCCCUCUAAUAUAGAGUCCAUUAGCCCAAUAUUCAACUAUCACACAAUUGACAAUUCUAGUCCCCUUUAUUUAACUAAUGUCUUUUAGCCACAAAAUUAAUUCUUAUUAAUUCUUGACUAUUAUUAAUUAAACAAUAUGAUUUCACUUUUAAUAUAUUAUUCAUAUAAUAUAUUAAUAAAUCAUAAUUAAUCCUCUUUCUCCGUAAAUCAUCCUAUCAAGUUGCUUUGGUGAAGGCAACCCAAAAGGACCAUGCACAAUCGGGUCAAGUACAUACCAAAAUAGUUAUGGACUUAGACACUAAUCCAACAGUCUCCCACUUGGAUAAGUCUAAUAACUAUUCUGCGUAUAACUUCAGAUCCUGAUUAGCAAUCGUAGCUUUCAAAAGCCGCUGUUAACUCUGAUCUUAUCAGAAGCGUGUCCUUUAGAUAAGGGAUCAUAUAUUCCUCCAUUCUUGAUAUCGCAUAGAUGUGAGACAUGGAUUGAAAUCAUUCUCUCAGUCUAUGUGUUGUUUCCUAAUUUCCGAUUUAUGACGACUGACAACAGACUACAAUUGAACACAUCAAAUUAGUCCCGGCUUGGCCAAGCACUUAGGGUGUCAUCACUAAAUCAUCGAGGGGUCCACAGAUAUCACUUUUUUCCCACUUUGGGAAAAAGGAACGGAUUAACUUCGACUCAAUGCUUGGUUGUAUUCACUCAUCGAAGCGCACACAACAAUAAGUUUUAUAACACCAAGUUACUGGUGCGUUUACUUAUCAUCAAUGUGCAACCGACCAACAAAUAACAACUCACACGUCUCAGUUUCAAAAAUAUACAAUAUUAUCGAGUCACAAUCACUUGUGAUAAAAUCCAUGAAGUGAUUACUGUGAGUGUGGGUUUAAUCCAAUGCUCAAAAUCAUAUUCAUAAGCACUCACGAAUGUUGCAGCAUACCUUUGCUUUGUCUAAUACACUUUAGNAACCAAUUCAUGACAGUCUUCAUUCAUACCUACUUCCAACAUAUGAACGACUGUGGACCAUUCGAAUAAUUUGAUUAUUCUGAAAUAAUUAAUUAUUCAGGAAGUCAAAACAUGCAAAGUGAAACACAAGAAUAAUACUAAUCCUAUAUGGUCCCAAACCUUUGAGUAUAAAUAAAACACCUUUUAUUUAUCACCAUAUCGAUUACUCAUUAUUUAUUGUUUCGGUUAAUUAACUUAUUACUUGAAUUAUUACUACAAUUGUCCCAUGCUCUUAGGUUGCACACAAUGUUUACUUAUGGUCCUUACUUUGUGAAAUAGAUCAAAUGAACACAUUUCCAAUCAUACUCAUUUCACAACUCCCAAUCCUUAUCAUAAGUAUAAGAAUAUCAAAUUCUUGCCACUUAUAGAAUAUGCUAGAUUCUAACAUUUUAUGCAAUGAUCCUUUCGUAAAGUUAUAGCUCAAAAUCAUCAAGACUUGGCCAAUCUCUAUCAGAUACAAUUAUAUAGAUAUGAUGUCUCUCACUCAAAUUACAUUCCUUUGAACAUCCUUCUUGCAUAAAACUUUCUAAUCUAGACAUAGAUUUUCAAUAUCCAACUCCCAAUAUGGAAACAUUUCCAUAUUUGCCAUAUGACAACUCAUUCUUAAUAGAAUCUUAUCUAUUCAUAAUAAUGUCGAUAUGGUCCAUCCAAUACCAUACUUCCAACUACUCACAAGCAACCAAUCUUCAGCGAACUUUGGAUCGUCCUUUGAUAGUUGUUUAAUUAUUUUAGUCAAAACCGAUUCUAGUCCUUUUUCCCUCUUAAUGCGCUAGACAUUUGGAAAAUUUUAGAAUGGUCAAAUAUUAUAGCAUUUGCAAUCGAUCCUAUACCCAAAGCGUAUGGGACACGAUGCAUAAUGUCUUACAUAAAGAUAUGAUACUUUAUCAAUCUUCUGCCAUAAUAUUUUAUAUGUCACGUUCUCAUAAUUCAAACUAUGAAGAGGGAUGUCGUAAUCAUAAUCGAAAUUUGAAAACACAAUAGGUAUCCUUGACUAAAUUUAUUAACAUUCCACAAUCUAAGACUUUAGAUUUGAAAUGAAGCAUAAUAUUCUCUCCCUUAAUUAUAGCAAAACAACUUUUCAACCCUUAUGACUUUGCAAAGUAUAACUCUUGUUUUCUAUAAUUAAUAUUGCUAACUUGCAAUACUUGCCAUAAUAAUCAUACAAGCAUAACACUUAUGCUCCCACUAUCAUGAUGAUUAUUAUCAUAUAAGCAUAACACUUAUGCUCCCACUAGCUUUGACAUGUAUUCACAAAACAGUUGAACUUCCAGAAAACAAUGCUUAUUGAAUUUCUUAAGUUCAUAUUUCUAAUACUUGAUCUAAGCUUCUUAAACUUAUACACCUUUGUCUUAGAAAGCUCACAUGUGUGUCUAGACAAAUUCAGAACUUAUGUUACUACGUCCCAAAUGUUCAGACUUAAUUGCCAAAUCUCACAAUUUGAACUAUGGAAAGGGAUGUCGUAACCAUAAUCAAAUUUGAGAAUACAAUUUUCACAAUUGGUAUCUUUUUAAAAUCUCACUUAGUGAAUGCAUUUCCUCACAGUCAUUUUCAUGAAGGAGGGAAUCUUAGAUUUUAUGGUGUAUGUGUUCCUAUCCAUGUGAAUUUGUCAUAACCAAAGUUUGCGACAAAUCCAAACUCAUACGGACCGAAAUUUCUUAAUCUUUAUUUCUUUCCUUAUGGUAACACGAGUGCCCACCAUGUCUUCCAAGUAGUUCAACAACAUCCUUACAUAUCAAUGUACUUUCCAUCGAUCAAGGUGCUUUGUCUUUAUGUAUUCAAAUGAGAACUCAUACAACUCACACACAUAAUUAACUCAAUUGGAAUGGCACAGAAACAAAAUAAUGUCAACACGAUAGGUUGUAAUCCACAAGUCGUGUGCUAGUGAUGAUCGAUAAGGUUUAUUCUUAAUUUGUUCUUGAAACCUUUCAAGACCAUUAAGACUCCCACUGACUCCUUGACAUAUAAGAUUCUCUUGUCAAGAAACAUUCCUUGACAAAACAAAUAUUCAAGAGUUAGUGUAGUUCUUAUCAAGACAAAACACCUCACAUAAUUGGUCCUAGUUGGUCUUUGUCUUAUCCAAGACAACACAACUUACCAAUUUCAAAUGUGCAAGAAUAAGAAAACUUUUCCAAAUUCCACAUUUGUUGAGUGUUAUAAACCUUCUUAAGACUUGUCACUCAAUUCACAAUCUUGGAGUAUAACUCUAAGACUUGAUAUUGGAACGAAGUAUGAUUGACUUCUUGAUUUAACCAUUUCCACAUUUCUCGAUUCCUCUUCUUAGACAUACAAAUGUACUAAGACUCACUUAGAGGAUCAAUUGAGAUAUGGUUCUUAAUCAUUAAGACUUAUCAUAAAACACAAUAAAAUGUAUUCUCCCUUCUUCUUAGAAUAGAGAAACUUUUAUUUUCUGCCUACUUGAUUCUUCUUUAUUCAUUCUACUAUUUAUUGAAACUCUUCCAAUCAACUCAGAGUUACACUUAAUCUUAUAAGUAUAAUCAUAUUUACUAAACCUUAGUAAAUCAUGAUGAAUAUCUUUGUUACUCUUGUGGUGGAUUUGAUCAACACACAACCUUGUGUACUCGAUUUCCUAGUCCUUCACUUAACUCUUUGUCAAUGAAUUAGUCUUGAAUUUCCAAAUAUAAAAGUUUUCAUUCAUCAUGCAACCAAGUUGUAUGAUUCCAAGUUUCUUUCGAAUUGAAACUUGGUUGAUGAGAAACUCUCCCUAUUUGGUAAAUUCUUGACAUCUCCACAAAUAACAUAAUUAUGAAUCAAAUCCAUUAUUGCUAAUAAUAGAAACCUUCAAACAUCAAUUUUUCAUACAUGCAAUUGCAAGGAUAAAUAAAUAAGAUAAAAUCAAAAUUUAUUUUAUUACGGAAAAAUUUGUCCUUACAAUGCAAUUCAAUUGAAAAACUAUGUUAUUACAUAUUUCUUAGCAAUAUAUUCUAACUUCAAGUUGUAGCUCAAGAAUCUAAACUUCAAGCAAUGCGAUCGAAAUCCAUUUCUUCACGAUUAUAUUCAGCUCACUUCUUCCCUUAAGCUUCCUCUCUUUUCUUCGAUCCUACAAAACAUCAAAAUGUAAUCUUAUCAGAUCAUGUAUUAAGAAUCUAGAAUAGGAACUUAAAAGAGUUAGUUAAUGGAUUUUACCUGAAGUAGAUCCAUACGUCUUGACUCUCCCAUCUCUUAGAUCUCUCAGGUAAAUAGGGUAGCUUCGUCUCCAAUGCACUUCUCUUGGCAAUAAAAACAAAUGGNUGAGCGUAUGGGCUCUUUUGGAAUGGCACAAGGAACUAUCUCAGAAUUUACCUUUUAUGGAUCUCCAAUGUCACCAUUUUCAAUGUCCAUUUAAGUUUGAGAGUUUGAUUCACCAGACAAAUUUGCUCGACCAGCUCGCCAAAUCAUUGCUGAUUUAACAGCUAUAAGCAAAUAUGUCAAAUCUAUGAGGGUCACGUCAUGAUCCAUCAUAUAGUACUCUCUAACGAACUCACUAUAUGAUUCAAGAAGCGACUGAAGAACCCAAUCAACAACCAACUUACCUGAAAUCUCGACACCCAACAUCCUUAACCUAUCAAUGUGUGACUUCAUCUCUAAGACGUGUACACACACAGGUUUCCCAUGUUUACUUGCCAAAAGGGCUUGAGUGAGCUUGAACUUUUCAAGCCUUCGAACUUGUGGGUUAGGGAGAAUAAUUGGAGAAGGUGGAGGUAGUAAAGGAUGAUCUCUUGUUCCUUGAUCAUAUCGUGGAAUAUCAUCUUCGUUUGGAAAGCUUGUUCCAUGGGAUUUGGGAAGACCAUUAUUGUCAUAACUAGACAUCUACAAAACGGGAGAAAAUUCAAGUUAAGUUGAUUAGAAUCCUUGAUGUGACACCCAAAUGAAACAUCGAGGCUAGGAUCCAACACAAUACUCUACAACCUAGAAGAGGGAUGCCGUAAUCUAGUUGCAGAAUAUUUGAAGGUAGGUAAAUGACGAUUUACCAAUUUCCACUAUGAAAAACGAAAAGGAAAUUUAAGUUUUAAAUGUAUUGAAAACUCCUAGAUCUUUUGAGAUUCAUUGAACUUUUCAAUGGCAUGUUUAAAUCUCGAUAUGCCCCUCGAUUUGUGACUGGGAUGCCGAGGAUCACAAAACAGGGUGUGAAUAACCAUGCAAACUUACAUGGUGCCCCCAAUGUUACAAUCACCUAUUUGUUGUGCCGGUUAACCACACACGCUCCACCGAACUAUGACAAACAUCGAGUCGCCCUUUACUACCUUUGCUUAGAACCCAUUUAGUGUGGCGGUUAGCCACACACACUCCACUAACGUCUUCGCAAUGGUACAAAGUGUAAUUUCAUGGAAUUGCAUCAAAUUCACUUUUUGCCUAAAGUAACUAAGAUUGGGAAUUAUGUAAAAACAUUUAGUUACUUUAUAUUUCAUUAUACUUUUAAUGGAAAGAGUUUGUCCUAUCCUACCCGUUCGGAUAGCGAACCUCCACCAAUCAAGGAAGCGGUGGGUGAGAGUGGACACCCAUUAAACGGCCAUUUUAUAGGCCAUAACCUUAUACCCCCCUUAUAGAUCGGCUUCGUGAACGAGGCUUACUAACGGUAAGACUAGAAGUUUUAUAUAAUAUUAGACUUUUAAUGCUAUAUAUAGUAUAAUGGUGUAUUUUAUGCUUUUAAAAUACUAGGUGGUUUAGUUUCAUAAAUUACACUUUUAAUUUGAUUAAAUAUAAACCAUAUGAUUAUGGAUUUAUUAACUCUCUUUUAAUUAUACUUUUAAUUAAUUUAACAAAACCAUAAGGGUGUAAUUUGAAUUUUUCAAAACUACGAGUUUUAGAAUUUAGACUUUCAAAAUUAAACCUUUUAAUCAAACAAUUUAAAUUCCAAAACAUGAGGAAAAAUUUUGAAACUUUUCAAAACAUAAGCAAGAACAUUCUAGAUCAAAUUACAAAUAAUAAUAAUUAACCAAUUAAUUAGUAAUUAUCUAAAUAUGACCUAAUUCAAUUUCUUGCAAGAUAAUCUAUCAAAUAAUUCAAAUAAAUCAAGUUUAUCACAUAAGGAAAUGAUUAUCUAAUUAAUUUGACAAUUAUCUUUUAUUUUGGUAAGGAUAUCUUUUAAAUUAAACAAUUAAUUUAAUCUAAUCCCUUAAAUCCCCUAGAAUUCGAAAUUAUGGGAUGGGAUAAAUCAAAAUCUUUAAUUACCAAAUUUAAACAUUUAAAGGAUAAUUACAAGAUAUGGCAUUAUCCAAAUCCCUAAAAUUUAGGAUCUAAUCUUGGGGAAGGAGGCAAUUUUGAAAUCCAAGGGUUAGAUGAUCCUAGAUUUCGAAAUCUUGGAGGCUAAGGAAAGGGUUUGGGAAACCCUAGCCAAAUUUCAAAAACCAGGGUUCAAGAACCCUAAUUUUUUUUGAAAAUUCAUGCCUCCUAGGGUUUAUAGGCCACAAACCCUAAUAUGUCAAGUUCAUACAUUUGAAUAAUGCUAAUUGAAAACAAAAACCAAUGGCUAUGAUACCACUGAUGGGUUUUAUACAAACAAUCAUAUGUGUGCAUGCAACCCUAGAGUUGAAUCUCUGUUUUCACUAUUAGUUAUACAACUUUAUGAACAUAAAAAGAAACCUGGCAUGCUAGUACUAUUUUCGAAAUCCACAUAGAAGAAUAGAAUACAUACCUUUUGUUGUUAUAUAGUAAUAACAACUAGUUCCUUGAAUCUCCUUAGCUUUGAAAGCAAGUACCACAAGUGUAGUACCUCUAAUGGCUCACAAACACCAAGAGCAAGAGGAUGACUUAGGAAAAGAGGAAAAGCACCCAAAAACGUCUAGAAACCCUAAGGAAACUCUUGGCAACGUUUUUGGUGCUCUAGGGGUCCUUAAAUAGUGAGGCUAUUAGGGUUAUCAAACAAGGAAACCUUAAUUUGACUGCUUAGGCCCUAAGAAGCCCAUGGACUCCAUUCUUAGAUGCCUUGGACGAUUUCUAAUGGGUUUCCCCAUAAAAUUUGUCCACCCCUCUAAUAUAGAGUCCAUUAGCCCAAUAUUCAACUAUCACACAAUUGACAAUUCUAGUCCCCUUUAUUUAAUUAAUGUCUUUUAGCAACAAAAUUAAUUCUUAUUAAUUCUUGACUAUUAUUAAUUAAACAAUAUGAUUUCACUUUUAAUAUAUUAUUCACAUAAUAUAUUCAUAAAUCAUAAUUAAUCAUCUUUCUCCAUAAAUCAUCCUAUCAAGUUGCUUUGGUGAAGGCAACCCAAAAGGACCAUGCACAAUCGGGUCAAGUACAUACCAAAAUAGUUAUGGACUUAGACACUAAUCCAAUAGGUAGUGUGGGCUUGUGGUGGUGACAAAGCAUCUAGUCCGUAUGGUUUCACCUUUUUGUUUGUUAUAAGAUAUUUUACUUUAUUACAACUUUAUGUUUUUAGCUUUACUCAACAAAUUUUCAAUAUUGGUAGUAUUCGCUCGACCAAUAAUUCAACUUUUUUUACUUUGAUAUCUAAGGUGUCAAACCCGAUAGAUAUCAAUGAUAUUAGACUAAAUACGAGAAGGUGUAUGACUUGUUUUGUGAUUAUCUUCUCAAGAUAUUGAGUUUUAUGGGAUUUUAUCAGAUGUGAUCUAAUUGGAUUUGUGCUUGCCUGGUUUCCGCCAAGACUUAUGUGUUGAUUAAUGGUUGUCUCACAUACAAAUUUGACAUUAGGCAUAGUUUGAGCCAGGGUGAUCCUUUCUCGCAUUUUUUGUUCAUUUUGGCUAUGAAAGGUUUACAUAUAGCUAUUGAGGAUGUUGUGUCUUUUAACUUUUAUUAGGAAUAAAACUAAGAAAUGAUGGUUUACAUAUCUCUCUUUUUCUACGCAAAUGAUGUGGUUUUUCUAGGAGAGUGGAGCGUAGAUAGUAUUACGAAUAUUAUUAAUAUUCUUAACUGUAUUUAUCCGGUGUUUGUAUUGUUGGAAUAGUGUCUAAGGCUGCAACUAUAUUAGGCAAGUAUUUGACCCGAUUGUGCAUGGUCCUUUUGGGUUGCCUUCACCAUAGCAACUUGACAGGAUGAUUUAUUAUGAGAGAGUAAAUAUUAUUAAUAUAUUAUGAGAAUAAUAUAAUGAAUAAUAAUAUUGUUAUUUGAUUAAUAUAAGUCAUAGAAUUAAUUAGAAUUAAUUUGGUGACUUAAAGAGAUUAAUUAAAUAAGAGGGUAUAAAUUGUUGCUNUUUUAGGUUUCUGAGUCAUUGACUCGGCGAGUCCCAAGGUGGACUCGGCGAGUAGGCCUGACUCGGCGAGUCCCCUUGUGCACUCGGCGAGUCCAGGCGUCAGGAAUGGCCAGAUUCGGGAUUUUUUCAUAAUUAUCUUAUGGAAACUUACCUUAAUCAUAUUAGAUCAACCUUAAUCCGAUUUUUUGAUAUAUAUGACUAUAAUCUUGAUCUAAUUAAAGAUAUUUAUCAACUAAUAAAAUAUUUAAUUUCCUUAUGUGAUAAAUAAUUAAUUAUUUUGAUUAAAUUGGUAAUUAUCUUGCAAGAAAUCAUUAAAUAAAUCAAAUAUGGAUAAUUAAGGAAUUAAUUGUUAAUUGAGAUUAUUUGUUAUUUGAUCCUCCAUGUUUUAAAUGUUUAAAACCUACCCUCAUGUUUUGAAAUUUACUUUUGUGAUUAAAAGUUUUAAUUUAGACAACUUAAAUUUCAAACCCUAGAUUUUAAAAGUUUUAAAAUACAACCCUAUACUAAUAUGAUAUUACUAGAAUAAUAUAUAUAUGUAUAACUAAAUGCUAGUCUUACCGUUAGUAGGCCUCAUUCACGAAGCCGAUCUAUAAGGUGGGUAUAAGGUUGCGGCCUAUAAAAUGGCGCUUAAUGGGUGUACACUCACACCCACCGCUUGCUUGAUUGGUGGAGGGUCGUUAGCCGAACGGGUAGGAUAGGGCAACCUCAUCCUCUCAUUAAAAGUAUAAUAAGAAAUAUAAAGUAACUACAUAUUUUUUUAAAAUUUCCCAAUCCUAGUUACUUUAGGAAAAGUGAAUUGAUGCAAUCCCAUGAAAUUACACUUUGCACCUUGCUAAGAUGUUAGUGGAGCGUGUGUGGUUUACCGGCACACUAAUUGGUUCUAAGCGAAGGUGGCAAAGGGUGAUUCAUUGUUUAUCAUAGUUCGAUGGAGCGUGUGUGGUUUACCGGCACAUCGAAUAGGUGAUUGUUACAAUGAAGGCACCAUGUGAAUUUGCAUGGUAAUUCACACCCGCUUUGUGAUCCUCGGCAUCCCAGUCACAAACAAGAGGGGCAUAUCGAGAUUUAAACAUGCCAUUGAAUAGUUUCAAUGAAUCUCAUCCGAACCUAGGAAUUCUCAAAAACACUUAGGACUAAUAGUUUAAGUUUUGUGAUGGAGAAUUAGUGAAUCGUCAUUCACUUACCUUCAAUUUAUUUGCAUGUUAGAUUACGGCAUCCCUUUUCUAGUAUGUAAAUGUUAUUGUUGGAUCCUAGCCCUAAUUUUCUUAUUGGGUGAUAAUUAGGGAUUCUUAUUCUAAUCUAUCUUUGUCCUUUUCUAAUUGUAGAUGUCGAACGCAAACAACGCUGCUGCUAGUUCUUUCACGUUGAUGAGCCUUUGCCAAAAGGUCACCUUCGAUGGAACGAACUUUAGCGAAUGGAUAAGAUACAUUCGCACCAUUGCUCGCUAUGAGGAUAAGGAGUAUGUCCUCGAUGAGAAGCUCGAGAAAAUCAACCCCGAAAUUGCUACUCCCGCCGAAAUCACCGCCUUUGAAACUCAUGAGCGAGAUGCAACGAAGGUACAUUGCAUCAUGAUCGCCACCAUGAACUCCGAAUUCCAAAAGUCCUACGAGGACAUGUACCCGUACGAGAUGCAUCAAGACUUAUUGGAGAGGUACCACCAAAACGCGAGACAAGAGAGGUACGAGAUUUUCACUAACAUGAUUUCCGCGAAGAUGGGUCAUGGAGAAUCUCUUACCGUGCACUUGCAAAAGAUGCAAAGGUAUGUUGACCGCCUCCGCAAGUUAAAUGUUGACUUCGGUGAAGACUUGGCGAUCGACAUGGUGCUUCACUCUUUGCCUCCGAUGUACAACCAAUUUAGGAUGACCUACCACAUGAACAAAGAAGAGGUCACCCUAAGCAAGCUCCAAGGUCUCUUGAGGGUUGCUGAGAGCAACUUCAAGGACAAGUCUGUUGCACCUACUCCCAAUCCGCCCGCUGCUCCUGUCUUGGCUAUUGGACAAGGGAAGGGAAAGAAGAGGAAAGCUUCAUCGAAGAACUAUCGCAAGGUGAAAGCCCGAGAUGGUGCCUCUUCUAGUGGGACCAAAGUUGAUCCCGCCAAGCCCUGCUCUAACCCGAAGGAGGCAGAGUGCCACCACUGCCACAAGAUAGGACAUUGGAAGAGAAGCUGCCCGGAUUACCUGCAAGCAAUCAAAGAAGGAAAGAUCAAGCCAUCUUUCGCAGGUAUAUAUACAAUCAAAUCUAACGAUUCUAAUCAUGCUAUUUCUUGGGUUCUUGAUACCGGUUGUGGUUAUCACAUUUGUUCUAAUGUGCAGGGACUAAGAAGAAGUAGGGAUGUGGAGCAAGGAAGGAUCAAUCUAAUCAUGGGGAACAGAAGAUCGUCGCCUGUGACCAAGAUUGGAGUGUAUUCUUUAGUGCUUAGGAAUAGUUUGGUUUUAGAUUUGAACAAUUGUUGCUAUUCGCCAGAAAUGGCUAGAAACAUCAUUUCAUUUCAUGGUUUAUAUAGACAAGGAUUUAGAUUUUCUUUUAAUAAUGAGAAUGGUUCUAUUUUGGCUUAUCUAAAUGGUGUCUUUUACUUUGAAGCUAUACCAUGUAAUGGAAUAUAUGAAACCGUUAUGAUUGUUGAUAACUUAGGAAAUGAUGUUUUGAAUAUUGAUUCUUCCACUAGUAUGGAUAAAGCAUCCUUGUGGCAUUGUCGUCUUGGACAUGUCAACAAGAAACGCAUAGCCCAACUCCAAAAGGAUGGAGUGUUGGAGUCAUUCGACCUUAGGGAAGAUGACACAUGCGAGUCUUGUUUACUUGGAAAGAUGACUAAGUCACCCUUCACGAGUACGUGUGAAAGGGGUGAGGGUCUAUUGGACCUAAUACAUACCGAUGUAUGUGGACCGUUUAGAUCAACCACGAAGGAUGGGAACCGCUUCUACGUGACUUUUACCGAUGAUUAUAGUAGAUAUGGGUAUAUCUAUUUAAUCAAGCAAAAGUCAGAAACCUUUGAAAAGUUCAAAGAGUUCAAGAAUGAAGUGGAGAAUCAAUUGGGCAGGAAAAUCAAGAUGCUUCGAUCCGAUCGAGGAGGAGAGUACCUAAGUCUUGAAUUCCACGAUUAUCUCAAGGAGUGUGGAAUAGUUUCGCAAUUGACGCCUCCUAGGACACCGCAGUUGAAUGGUGUGGCAGAAAGGCGUAAUCGAACCUUAUUGGAUAUGGUUCGCUCUAUGAUGAGUCGUGCUUCACUACCUAUCUCUUUUUGGGGGUAUGCCUUAGAGACUGCCGCCCAUAUCCUUAACCGAGUCCCUACUAAGAAGGUUGCCAAAACACCUCACGAGAUGUGGACAGGGAAAGCUCCCUCGUUGGCACAUAUCAAGGUUUGGGGUUGCGAGGCUUUCGUAAGACGAGAUACUCACGACAAGCUUGAACCUCGAAGUGAGCGAUGUAUUUUCAUCGGCUACCCGCAGACAUCCUUUGGAUAUCUCUUCUAUAGACCGAAGGACAAUGUUGUCUUCGUUGCGAGGAGAGGAGUUUUCCGAGAGCGAGAACUCAUAGGCCAAGGAGACAGUGGGAGGCAAAUCGAGCUUGAAGAGAUUCAAGAGUCGAUAGAUGAAGGAACCUCUACCGCUGGCACUCAACCCGAGGAGGAAACUCCAGUUGAACCGAUUGACGAGUCCUUACCUCUUAGACGUUCCGAUAGAGUUUGGGUUCAACCCCAGUUUUAUGGUUUUCAUAUUACUACCGAAGGGGAUACGUAUAUUAGUGAUGGUACCCUAAUAGACCUUGAUGAAACUAAUAGCUAUAAGGAAGCCAUGGCAGGCCCGGAGUCUGCGAAAUGGAAAGAGGCAAUGGAUAGCGAGAUCCAAUCCAUGUAUGAUAACCAAGUUUGGAAUUUGGUUGAUUAUGUGCCCGGACGUAAGACCGUUGGGUGCAAAUGGAUCUUCAAGAAGAAGACCGACGUGGAUGGAAACGUACACACAUAUAAAGCGCGAUUGGUCGUGAAGGGCUUUACUCAAACUCCCGGAGUUGACUAUGACGAGACCUUCUCACCAGUUGCAAAGAUAAAGUCUAUUAGAGUGAUGCUAGAAAUUGCCGCAUUUCAUGAUUAUGAGAUUUGGCAAAUGGAUGUCAAGACCGCUUUCCUUAAUGGAAAGUUGGCUGAGGAUGUUUACAUGGCUCAGCCAGAGGGGUUUGUGGAUCCGAAGCAUCCGAAUAGAGUGUGUAAGCUUGAGAAGUCCAUUUAUGGACUUAAGCAAGCGUCUCGCAGAUGGAAUCUUUGCUUCGAUGAGAAAGUCAAAGAGUUUGGAUUUGUACGAAGCGAAGAUGAAUCAUGUGUAUAUGUCAAAGCCAGUGGGAGUAUAGUAAGCUUCCUCGUUCUAUAUGUCGAUGACGUAUUACUCAUAGGAAACGAC
rnacentral:lncRNA from 1 species